UGAUUUUUCUCUAACAUCGGAAAGAAAACUUGCAGCAUCAAAGUGUUGCACAAUUUUGUUAUACAAAGCUUUGGCAAGUUCCGUUUUUCCAAUUCCACCAAGUCCAUAUAUGCCCAACAUUCUUACAGUUUUAUCAUCAGACUUCAUGUCCAAAAGUGACAUAACUUCUUCUAUGCAGGCCUCAAGGCCAACAGGGUUUUGACCACUAUAUAAAGGUUUAGGAGUUAUAUAUUCCUUGACCUUCCCAACAAUUUCUUCAAUACAAUAGCUUUCAUCAUCCCUAUGAGAGUAGAGUAGAAUGUAAUAAUUAAUUAUUUGUUUGAUAUCAUGAUUUUUUUAUUAUUGUACUAAGUGAUUGUGAUUAUUGUAAUAGAUAGUAAGCAAUGAUACUAAUAGCAAGUAGCACAAAAGAAUAAUGAUUACACAUUAUACAAAAUUUACUGGAGAUGAAAAAGUUAAAGAAAUUUUAUUCUAAACAAAAAAUUCAAUAAUUUAUAAAAAAAUACCUAAAUAUAAUAUCAAAUUCAAAUAAAAAAUGGAUUUUUUUCAACUUUGUUUAUUAGUUUUUUUAUGUUUUAAAUUGUUUUUUAUAAUGUUCAGAAUUAUACUUUAUGACUAACAAAAUCAAUUAACACCCUGAAAAAAUCUAAAAUUUAAGAUGUGGAAUAUUAUAUAUAAGAAACUACACAUGAUAUAAAUAAUAUUACAUCCCAUUAUAAUUAAGAUGUAGAAUAUUAUAUUUAACAAACUACACGUGAUAAAAACAAUAUUACAUACCAUAAAGUAUAUUACAUGAAUCAUUUUUGUUUGUGAAAAGUAAAGUUCUACAUAAGAUCAACUUACUUUUGGUUUUUAACCUUUUAAAAAAGGUUAUAAUUAUUUUUUUAACUAAAAUCAUAUUUUUUGGAUGAGAGAAAAAUUAAGAGAGGAAAAGUAUUUUUUCUUUUAAAUUUCCCUUACCAAUUGUAUUUUUUUUUAUAUCUAAGAAAAGGUAAGUCUUAUGAUAGUGAUGUUAGUAAUGACUUCCAGCAAAGUUCGAAUAUGAGAAAUGCAUUUAAUAUUAAGGACUUGGAUCAAUAAACAAGAUUUUAGAAAUAAAAAUUCAUCGAGAUAGAAAAGAUAGAAAUGUUUUACUUUCUUAGAAUUAAAUAUUAAUGGUAAGUAAAACAAUACUCACCUACGAGCACAAUGCUUAAAAAAAUCUAAGAAAGUGUUGAAGGAACCCAAGAGAACAACAUGGUACUCAUUGAGAAAAUAUUGUUAGAGUCUAAGGUGUUCAAUAAACGCAAUUGAUGGUGGAAGUGAGAAACAACCAAGGUACAAAAAGACAAUCGAGACUCUUUAUGCUAUGUGUGAAAGAACCUACUACAACAACGUUAAUUGAGGUUAACAAUUCAUACAAUUAUAAACUUGUACCUGACUCUGCUAUUAAUAAUAGAAAUAGACUAUUUUUGGUUACGAAAUGGAAGUGUAGAGGCUAUUAGGUUAUGCGAAUUGGGUUAGGAAAUCAAAAUUACAUUUACAGAGUAGGAUGAAAAUAUUUUAAAGAUGAUUGAGAAAACAAAGGAAAGAGAAUGCAAAACGAAAAUAUUAAAGGAAGAGAAAAGACAAUCCAAUUAAUGAAGAUAAUAUGUUUAAACAUUAUAGGAGAAUUGAUUAAUAAGGAGGAGGUUGGGGUAGUGUUCUUACAAGAAACCAAAUUAGAAAUAGUCAAUAAAGAAAGAUGCUACAAUAUAAGAAACAAUGAUACAGAAUGGGAACAUUUUGUAGUUGUAAAUGGGGUACAUGAAAUUUUAAUUAAGUGGCAUAAGAAUACUUUCAUAUGUGACAUGUUGGGUAUAAAGCCAGAUCAAUUGGGUUGGGCUGACUAGACACCAUGUUUAGUGAGUGAGCUUAAUCAUUGUGUCCCUUUUAUAAUCUAUAUUUAAAGAGAUCAUUGUACUUGUAAUUGGUGUACAACCAGACAGAAAUGAAAACCUAAUAGUUGUCGGUGUGGGUGUAGGUUGCAGUUGGCGACCGAACCACGUUAAAUCUUGUAUUGUUUAUUUUCUGCAGUUGAUUCGUGAUUAUGUGUGUUGCUUCUGCUUGCGUUUUUUCCCAUCAAGUGGUAUCAAGAGCUUUGGUUCGUUUACACACUAGAGAUCCGAUCAGCAGAAAUUAAUCGACGAGACGUGAAAAUUGCGGCUGCAGUAGCGUCCUAAAGCUAGGGUUUCACAAAGGCGAGAUUAACGUUCCAAAGUUAGGGUUUCGCAAGGGUUGAAGUAGCGUCUCAAAGCUAGGGUUUCACAAAGGCGACAACAACGUCCCAAAGCUAGGGUUUCAUAGGCGCAAUAGCGUCCCAAAGUUAGGGUUUCGCAGAGGCGACAACAACAUUCCUAAGCUAGGGUUUCACAGGGACUGCAACGUUCCUAAGCUAGGGUUUCGCAAGGGCUGCAGCGACGUCCCAAAGUUAGGGUUUCACGGUGGCCCAGGAUUCGCGACAGCCUAGACCUGCGACUCGCGGCAGGUGUGCAAUGGUGUGGAUCGCUACAAGAGUGGUGGCGGCUCGUGACGUUGUGCAGAUGGCUUGCUCGUAGUAGGGUCGUGUCCAGGCAAUGCGGUGGAGUGUGCUAAUGUGACGACAGAUCGCGUUUCGCGGCGAACAGGUGCAGGUGCUUAUGGUGAGCGAGACGACACGAAGGUGCAGUGCGAUGGCAGUGACGGAAGACGCAGGGUGGCACGUACAUUUUUCUGCUGGUGCAGCAGUGACGGUGCGGUGCUAGGCGCGGGUGUGGCUGGUUUUUGCUGCGGCACGAAGUUAAGACAAUUCAGUUACUGAACACAUUAAUAAAAUGAAUUCGAUCUUAGCCAAACUUAUGUCAGUGGGCAUUAAGUUCGAUGAUGAAGUUCAAGCUUUACUACUGCUAUUGUCUUUGCCUGACAGUUGGUCCGGAAUGGUUACAACAGUUACCAGUUCAGUAGGAUCCGAUGGAUUCACUUUUGAGAAGAUUUGUGAUCUCAUUCUUGGCGAGGAUGUCCGAAGAAGGAGUUUUGGGGAAUUAGCUAGUGAAUCACUAUAUGUCAUCAGAGGUAAGAAAAAUAUCAAAGAUAGUGGGAGCAAGAACAAAAAAAGGAGUCAGUCAAAGACUCGGGAUUGCUCAAGUGUAACAUGUUGGAACUGCAAGGAGGUGAGGCAUUUCAGGAAUCAAUGCCCAAAUGAUAAAUAAGUCAACAUUGCAGAAGACUUCGUGGACGAGGACCUUUUAGCUUGUUGUGCGGAUUGAAGUGUGGAUUUCUAGGUCAUGGAUUCUGAAGCAUUGCAAAAUCUAGUUAUUGGAGACUUUGGAAAGGUAAGACUAGCAGACAACAAAACUCUUGAUGUUACGGGCAUGGGUGACAUAAUGUUGAAGACACUAGUUCGUUUCUAGACUUUGAAGGAUGUCAGAGUUGUUCUAAGCUUGACGAAAAGUUUGAUUUCUGUUAGGCAAAUGGACGAACAGGGACAUGAAGUGAAGUUCGAAAAUCAGCAGUGGAAGGUCGUCAAGGGAAAUCUUGUCAUAGCCUGCAGAAGAAAGAGAGGUUCGUUGUAUAUGGUCGGAUUACCUUCUAAGGGAGUGACCAUCCCAGUUCAGAAGAUAAACAAAGUUUGGUUCACAAAAUCUCGUGGGCAGAAGAGGGUCGUCUUUACAAGAGAGAAACCCAGAGCCACAGGUCAGAUUCAGGAUGAACGAGCAUGGAAAGGUUCAGGUAGACCAGUCAGAGGUACUUAUGGUAGUGGGAGCACGGGUCGUGCUUCAGUAGAGGUUCCUAGACGACAGUGGGUUAGUGAUUGACGUGUUGAAACUUAGGGGAGUUUUAACGAAGUCUUCUAAAUGAUUAAGAAAGUUGGUGGCAACUAGAGGUGGAACAUUGAAUUUCGUCGACAGAUUACAAAAGUACAUGUACACAGUUGAAGCGCAGGUGAACAUUGUUUCGUGACUUCAAGUGGGAGAUUGUUAGGUAUGAAGUCAAAACCAAUUGGGUUGGGCUGACUAUACAUCAUGUUUAGUGAGUGGGCUUAAUCAUUGUACACAGUUGAAGCGCAGGUGAACAUUGUUCCGUGGCUUCAAGUGGGAGAUUGUUGGGUAUGAAGCCAAGACCAAUUGGGUUGGGCUGACUAGACACCAUGUUUAAUGAGUGGGCUUAAUCACUGUAUCCAUUUUAUAAUCUCUAUUUAAAGAGAUCAUUGUACUUGUAAUUGGUGUGCAAUAGGACAGAAAUGAAAACCUAAUAGUUGUCUGUGUGGAUGUAGGUUGCAGUUGGCGACCGAACCACAUUAAAUCCUGUGUUAUUUAUUUUCUGCAGUUGAUUCGUGAUUAUAUGUGUUGCUUCCAUGUGAUUUUUUCCCAUUAAAACAUUGGUUAGAAAUACAAGUUUUUUUAGGAGUUAAAGAAAGCUAGAAAAAGAAUAAUAGGUCAAUAGUAAUAGUGAAUGUGUACUCCCUUGUAACUAUAGUGAUAAGAUAGUAAUGUUGGAUGAAAUAGCAAGAUUAAGAUAGGAAGAAGAAUGCAAAAUCUAGUGUGUAUUGGAGAAUUUUGACGGAAUAUGAAAUUUAGAUGAAAGAAGAGGUAUAAAUCAAGAUGGUAGAGGUUAGAGGGAUACAAUAGAAAUUAAUGAAUUUAUAGAAAACACUGAAAUCAUGGAUAGUAGUUAGAAAAUUUACUUCGUAUCCAAAUGGAAUUGCAAAAAGUAGGUUUCACAAAAUUUUAUUCAGGAGAGCGUUAGAUCAUUGUGUUAUGGUGUUAAAUUCCAUACAAAUAUAUUGGGAUUUGAAUCCAUGACCUUGUAAUGUAUGGAUGCACUAGUAAAGAGUCCACGAAAGAAUAGCGGUGUUAGUGGAUGUGGUAUGGUCACUAAAAUAAACAUACAAUCGAGGGUCAAAAUCCAUAAAAAAGACCAAAAUUUCAUCAAUAAUAUGGUUGUCAGUAAAUUUACCAGCAGAAAAAGUUCUGUCAAUAAUUAUUAAUAUUAUUAAUUAUUAUUUUAAAAAUAAUAUUUAUCUUUAACAAAUUAUAUUAUUAUUAUUAUUUCUAAUUAUAUUAGCACAUUAUUAUUUUGUUGCAAGUGGGACUUAAAACUGAGGAUUAGUGGUAGGAGAGUCUCUAACCACUUGAAUAAAGUGAUGUCAUUGUAAUAUUUUGAUUUUUAUUAUGUUAUUAAUAAUAAUAAUAAUAUUAAAAAUAAUAAUAAUAAUAUUAUUAUUAUGAAUAUUAUUGUAAUUAUUAUUAUUAAUAUAUUAUAAUUAUUGUAGUCAUUAUUAAUAUUAAUAUUGUUAGUAUUAUAAUUACAAAUAUAAAACUAAUAAUAAUAGUGGUAAUAAUUACAAUAAUAAUAAUAUUAUUAAUAAUAAAAUUACUAAUAAUAUUAAUACUAACAUUAUUAUUAAUCUUAAUAUUAAUAAAAUUAAUAAUAUUUAAUAAUUACAAUAAUAAUAAUAAUAAAAUAUUAAUAAUUAUAAUAUUAAUAUUAAUAAUAUGAAUAAUAAUUAUAGUAAUAAUUCUAAAUGUUACUAUUACUAAAAUUCACAAUAAUUUCAAUAAUUAUAAUAAUUUGAUAUUAUUACUAACACUACAAGAAAAUCAUGAAAUAGAAAUCAAUUUUAGAAACAAAAAAUAAUUAGUUGCUAUAGUGACUAAAUUAGAGACCAUUUUAGGGACUAAAUAAUUUUUUGGUUUCUAAAUUAGUUUCUAUUAUUGUUAAAUGGUUUUUAAAUUGGUAUCUAAUUAGUAACCAACUUUUUUGCUACCAAAUUUAAAAUCUAAAUAAUUGGUAGUUAGAAUUUUGGUUGCUAAUUAGAUACCAAUUUAGAAACUAUUUAAAUAUAAUAGAAACUAAUUUAGAAAUCAUUUUUUUUAGUUUCUAAAAUGGUCUAUAAUUUAGUUACUAUUGCAACUACUUAUUUUAGUCUCUAAAAAGGUUUCUAAUUUAGUUACUAUUGCAACUAAUUAUUUUAAUCUCUAAAAAUUGGUUUCUAUUUGAUGAUUUUCUUGUAGUGUAAAUUCAAUAUUAGGCUAAGUAACAUUCUCUUCUAUUUCUAUUAGUGAUAAUAUAGUCCUAACAAGUGAGUUCACAUAACUAGAAAUUAAGAAAGCAAUAGACAGUGUAAGAGUGAUUAAAUUUUGGGCAAUGGCUAUAAAAUUGGCUUUACAAAGAAAUUAUGGGAGGUUGUAAAAGUAAAAAUCAUACCAUCUACCCAUUCUUUCAAACUCCUUAGUUGGGUGUAUGUAUAAGAUAAUAUGUAAAGUGUUGUCUAGUAGGUUAAAACAUAUCUAUCUAAGAUGAUUGAGAGCUACUAAUCAACAUUCAUGAUGAAGUAUUUGAUUAAAGAAAACAAGUAAAAUAGAUGCAAUGAUGACGAAUGAAUGGAAAGAGGAGGAUGGGGAAUUUUACAAUGUAAAUUACAAAAAGUUAUAACAUAUUUGUAAGAAGAAAGACUCUAACAUGUUUAAUCUUUUCUAGAAGGUGAAGAUGCUACCCUCAAUACAACAUUUUGCAUGGAAGGUAAUAAAUAUUAAAUCGUGUAGCAACAAAACAAAAGAAAAUUGGAGGAGUAAGGGAGUAAUGAUAGAUAAUGUUUUUUGCCCUAUGUGCAUAUUAAUGGAGCAAUUCGUUAACCAUUUAUUCUUCAGAUGUAACAUUGUACGUUGUGUGAAAUAUGUGCAACAACUAGGUUGGAGUAAGUACUCUUAUCACUACAAAAAAAAAUCAGUAUUAUUUAUGCAUUUUUACCCAUGAAUCUGAACCCGUAGGUAAAUUCAACAUUAUCUACAUAUAUUACCCAUGGAUAUUACUCACAGAUUCUUAGUCUGUAGGUAAAUUCAACAUUACUUACUAAUUAUUACCCACAAAUCUUAUUACCUACCAACUUUUACCUACGGAUCUCUAUUACCUACCAACUAUUAUCAUAAUAAUUACAUACAUAAAUUAAAAAUAUUAAUAUAAUAUGAAGCAUUAUAAAAUCAUAAUUAAUAUUCAUAAAUAAUAAUAACCAUAACUAAUUUAUACAUAUUUUUAAUAUUAUAAAAUUAAUAAUAUUAAUAAUAUUAAUAAUAUUAACAAUAUUUAAUAAUAUUAACAAUAUUUAAUAAUAUUUAACAAUAUUAAUAAUAUUAAUAAUAUUAAUAAUAUUAACAAUAUUAACAAUAUUAAUAAUAUUUAACAAUAUUAAUAAUGUUAAUAAUAUUUAACAAUAUUAAUAAUGUUAAUAAUAUUAAUAAUAUUAAUAAUAUUAAUAAUAUUUAACAAUAUUUAACAAUAUUAAUAAUAUUUAACAAUAUUUAAUAAUAUUAACAAUAUUAAUAAUAUUAACAAUAUUUAACAAUAUUAAUAAUAUUAAAAAUAUUUAACAAUAUUAAUAAUAUUAAAAAUAUUUAACAAUAUUAAUAAUAUUAAUAAUAUUUAACGAUAUUAAUAAUAUUUAACGAUAUUAAUAAUAUUUAACGAUAUUAAUUAUAUUUAACAAUAUUAAUAAUAUUUAAUAAAUGAUAUUAAAUAUAUGAAUAAUGUUAUUAAUUUUUAUUUUAUUAAUUAUUUUAAUAUUGAUAAUCAUACUCAUAAAUAUAAUAAUAAUCAUAACAUGAUAACAAAACUUGACUGGUGGAAUGGUUAAAUCUUCUAUGAAUAUUUUUUCAAGGAACUUGAAAUCACCUGCACCUGCAGUUUAGUUCUAACAUUAAUUAUAACAUUUAUUAUUUAAAAUUUUAAUUAAUUGGGAGAUAUUAGUGUAUAUAUGCCCAACAACUUGCAUAAUAAUUUUCUUUCCCUCAAAGUUGUCACUCUUCCAUUGAAUCAUUGUUGUCAAGUUAAUUAUUUUUUUAUUUUUUAUUUAUUUUUAUUUAUUUUUUCCUGACCAAUUCGCCCCGCUCCAUCGCUGACCCGCGCGGAUCGUGGAUUAUACGGGACGGGCUAAUGUGGAUUAGCGGAUUGAAAACGUCAAUCCGCCCUGCAUUUUUUGCCGUAGACCGACCCGUAUAACCCGUUCCACUUUGUCACCCCUAAAUGGAGUCUAGACCUAAAUGGAGUAUAGUGAUCAUGCAUUCUUAUAGGAGGAACAGUAAAUUGAUUAUCUGAGUUUGAUAAUGUUAUAAUUUUGUCUAGUACAAAAAUUGAAAACAUGCGAACUAUCCAAACAUAGGUCACUAACCAAAGAACUAAAACAUAAACAACAAAAAGAUUAUUUUAUUCUGAUAGUCAAAAUCCAUUACACAUAACAAUAAAUCUGGUCUUUUAUUUCAAAACAAAACACAUAGUUAUGCAUCGUUCGAUACUAUUAUUUUCUAUUUAGAUUUAUAAACAAAUAUUAUAAUUUUAUUUCUUUCACUAAAGUAACAUUAUUAUUUUUUAUUCGAGAUUUGGGAUGAAAAAGAAAUAAGAUUGAAUGGUUUGUUAUACAUACCCGGUGGUAAUAUGCUUCCCUGGGAAGUCAACUGCUUGAGACAAGGCUGACCUCCAAGCCUGCAUCUGUGAUUCUUUUGCAAUGUCAUUUUCAUGUGCCUUCAUGUGUUUUCCGAAGCUAUUUCUCUCGUGCCGUAUAUCUGAGGGAUCUACAUGGUAAAACACUGGGUAAACAAGCUGCUUCUUCUCCUUCAUUUUGCUUCGUUCUAUGAUCCUAACAAGUUCAUCCAGACACCAUCUGGAAGAUGCAUAGUUCUCAGAAAACACAACGAUGAAAAUCUUAGAUUCUUCAAUGGCCUUCGACAGAUCAGGUGGAAGACUUUCCCCUGUCCUCAUAUUCUUAUCAUCAUUGAAACUUUUUAUUCCCUUCCCAUCUAACUCUCUACGCAGAUGCCCUAUAAAAUUGUUCCUUGUAUCUUCUCCUCUAAAACUGAUGAACACAUCAUAGGUGAAACCAAGACGCUCUUCUUCCUCACCAUGUUCUCCCAUGCUACAAACACACCAAAACUACACUAUGGAUUCUCAACUACUUUCAUCAAUUUAGUGUGUUCUGAUUAAAUACACUUUCUUUCGCGGAUACACGCUUUCAUGUAUCAGUGAAUUAAGCUUCUUAAUUAUAGGGGUUGACCAAGAAGAUGAAGAACAUGGGAUAUAAUUAUUACAACUACCAAACAUGAUGCCUCGAUCUUGAAAAUAAAGAUGAUGGGAACACAAGUAAUUCACGUGGUGCAUAUUUAAUGUGGUUUAUAUUGUACAGAAUUGGAUUCCUGUGUAUAAAAAAAUAUAGCGUUCAUAUUUAUGUGUAUUUAAUUAAAUUUAUAAUAUUGUUUUUCUAUUUUAUAAUAUUGGAUUCCCUUGUAUAAAAAUGUUUUCUUUUACGUUUUUUCGGUUUUUUUUUUCUGGUCAAAGUUGCAAACUUUAAUUAUCUCUGUCAUUCUUUCAUUUCUUUUGCCAAAAUGCUUUCUCUUGCAUCUUUUUCAUUUUUUUAUUUUUGGUUCUCUGUUUUUGUUAUUCUUUGGCGUUUGUCAAAAUAUUUUCUCUUACGUUUUCCCCAUUUUUUUUCUUAUGAUUCUUUGUUUUUUUUUUUUUAAUUUUCAUUGUUCUACGCAAACUUUGAUCAUUCUAUGCCAUCCUUUAUUUUUUGUUUGUGAAUUAUUACUGAAAAUUGUAGGUAAGCUGUAUUUUGGUGAUACGAACAAGAUUAAAUGUAAUCAAUAUUUUGUUGAUCAUAAGCAAAUGUUGUUCAAUGAAUAUUUGUUAUUAUGUUAAUUUUGAUGUAUUUUGUUAAUUAUGUUACUAAUGUCGAGUUAUUUAUAAUUUUAUUCGUUUUCUCCAUAAAAAUUUAAAAAAUGUAUUUAUACUAACUGUUGGUGUAACAUCCCUAAAUUUACCCAUAUAUAUAUAUAUAUAUAUAUAUAUAAUAAAAUAAUAGUAAAACAAACAAUAUUUAAUUAACAAAUAAACAUAUACUACUUGUUGAUAUUUGUAUCUCAAAAAUAUAUACAUCAAAAGUUUAAAAACAAAACACAGCAAAGCAUUCAAUUUAAAUCUAUCUAAUCCUCCUUCUGCUCACUGAGGAGCUCUAUUACCUACAACUUCAUCUGCUCCCGUGUAAAUUAACACGAUCAUCACAGAUUAAAGAAAACAAAAACAAACAAAUAACAUGGUAAGCUAGUUAUAUAAAACAAAAUUCUAUAAAAUUUCAAUUUGAAAUUUAUAAAACAUAAAUCAUCAAGUCUCGUACAAAUUCUCAAAUCAUCAAGUGUCUAUUAAAAUUCAACAUUCAUCUUUCAUAUGUCAGACUUCCACUGACUAAUAUAACAUAGACACUUGAUUCUACUUCUGAAAGACUCGUGUAUUGAAAUUAGCAUCCAGAGACCUGCACCUGUCAUACUACUGCUGUGAAAUCCACACAGUCAUGCGCAUAAUUAUCUCAAUAUCUCAUCCACUCAUAUGACAGGGUAAAUUCAUAUGACCUGAAAGAUCAGGUUCUAUUUCAAACCCCAGACAUAAUCAUAUGAACCUCCAUCGACUCUCACCAACUGAAUAACUUCAUCUAUGUUAUUCCAUUAUAUCAGUAGAGUCAGGAUUGUCUAAUUCACAGAUACUCACAAAUCAAUACACCCUAACAGCAAUCUCAACACGGUAUUUUCUUUCCUGAAAAUACUAUGUCUUGAUCUUACUUUCACAUCAAUGCACACUUCAUUUAACACAUCAAUACACCAUACAAUCAUAACAUAUAAUUUAACUUUCUAAUAAUCCAAAUAUAUCCAAGAAGUUAUUUAAUAAUAGUAAUCCAAAAUAAACUAUGCUAAAAUAAUAAUAAUAGUAAUAUCCAUAUAUGUAUACAAAAUUUUGAAUUGAUCGAAAAUAUUUUAGGUUUAUCUAAAUGACACCAGAGAGCACCAAAAAAUUUGGAUUGAUCGAAAAUAUUUUUAGGUUGAUCGAAAUGACACCAGAGAGCACCAGAAAUUUUAGAUUGAUCGAAAAUAUUUUUAGGUUGAUCGAAAUGACACCAGAGAGCACCAGAAAAUUUGAAUUGAUCGAAAAUAUUUUUGGUUGAUCUAAAUGACACCAGAGAGCACCAGAAAUUUUAGAUUGAUCGAAAAUAUUUUUAGGUUGAUCGAAAUGACACCAGAGAGCACAAGAAAUUUUAGAUUGAUCGAAAAUAUUUUUAGGUUGAUCGAAAUGACACCAGAGAGCACCAGAAAUUUUAGAUUGAUCGAAAAUAUUUUUAGGUUGAUCGAAAUGACACCUGAGAGCACCAAAAUUACAAAGUCCAUGCUAUAGCUGAAAAUUACUCUAAAUCAACUUCAAGCAACCAAAAAUCAACAACAUUAUAAUUUUAUAACAACAAUCAUAUCAAAUUUUACAUUCAAAUCUCAGUCAAUUACUAAUAUACUUAAAUCAAACAACCUUGGAAGAAAGUUUGAGACUGGUGACCACAUCACCCUCACAUCCAGAUCUUCUAGCCUAGUGUUCUAUUGGAAAUUAAGGCUAGCUUCCCUUACCUGAAUUUUAGUAGAUAUACACUAAGAGCUCCAAAACCACCAAGAACUCAAAGGUAACUUAACCUGCACCACAAAGUCCAAAUAAAAAAUCUAACUAUAUUACUAAGACCCUGAGCUAACAGAGAUUAACCUUGAAGCUAAAAGGGUCACAUGCAAAGCAAGACAAAAACAACCUGACAAGUUCAAAAUUUGACUCAAAGAGAAGAGCAAAAAUGAACUUACUCUAUCAGAGAUUCUGAUCGGGCAGUCUUGUAGUACUCACUGCCAGGAGUCUGAUGGUGGACUCUGAUCGUCAAACCGAUGAACGAGGAAGUCAGAAUCUUAGAGAAGGGAGAGAAAAAGAAAAGAACUUUCUAGAGAGAUGGUGGUUCUUUUUAAAAUGAAACCUGAAUAACUGAAUUUCUAUUUAUAUUCCCUUUUCAUUUUAGAUAAAAAAAUAUUCAGGAGUCAUUUAAAAUAUACCACUUCUACUCUAAAGUAAUUUUCUAGAUCCUUACAUUCUCCCCAACAAGAAAAAUUUUCGUCCCCGAAAAUUGACUUACCAGAAAAGAGAUAGGGAUAACUUUCCCUAAUGGUUUCUUCUAAUUCCCAAGUGGAAUCACCAGAUAUAUCAUCCCACACCACCUUCACCAUACUGAUGGUCUUGCCCCUGAGUUGUUUACUCUUUUGAUCUUCAAUCCUAAUUGGUUUUGCUUCAAAAGACAAGUUAUCCUUGAUUUGCACAUUAUCCACUUCCAACACGUGACUAGGAUCUGGAAUAUACUUUCUUAGUUGUGAUACAUGAAAUACAUUGUGCAGGUUUGCUAAUUGAGGAGGUAGAGCAAUCUCAUAAGCCACUGGACCUAUCUUCCUUAAGACUUGAUAUGGUCCAAAAAACUUAGGAGAUAACUUAUUUGAUCUGAUAGCUCGUCCUACACCCUUGGUUGGUGUCACUCUCAUGAACACUUGGUCUCCAGCUGCAAACUCCAAAGGUUUUCUCCUCUUAUCUGCAUAGGAUUUCUGCCUACUUUGAUAAGCUUUCAAUCUGUCUUGUAUCUGCUUCACUUUCUCAGUGGUCUGUUGAAUUAACUCUGGCCCAACCAAAACUGUUUCACCAUCCUGAUACCAACAUAAAGGAGUUCUGCACUUCCUCCCAUAUAGAGCUUCAUAUGGUGUCAUCCCAAUACUGGCAUGAUAACUAUUAUUAUAAGUGAACUCCACUAGAGGUAACAUCUCAUCCCAACUUCCCAGAUGAUCCAAAAUACAUGUCCUCAACAGAUCUUCUAAAGACUGGAUCGUCCUCUCAGACUGUCCAUCUGUUUGAGGGUGAUAUGCAGAGCUCAUUCUCAACCUAGUUCCCAAAGAGUCUUGUAGAGUUUGCCAAAACCGUGAAGUAAACCUGGGAUCUCUAUCCGAAACAAUACUGGAAGGCACUCCAAGCAAUCUCACAAUCUCUUUGAUGUACAACUGUUCCAACUUGGCCAUAGAUAUCCUUAAAUUAACUAGAAGAAAGUGAACACUCUUUGUCAGUCGAUCAACUAUUACCCAGACUGCAUCAUGACCCCUUACUGAUCUUGGUAAGUGAGUAACAAAAUCCAUAGCAAUGUUGUCCCAUUUCCACUCAGGAAUAUCCAACUGCUGUAACAAACCACCAGGUCUCUGAUGUUCUACUUUUUCCUUCUGACAUGUCAAACAUGUACCAACAUACUGAGCUAUUUCUUUCUUCAUGCCUGACCACCAAAAGGACUCUUUCAAAUCUUGGUACAUCUUUCAUACCGGGAUGUAGACUAAGAUGACUCUUAUGACCCUCUUCUAGGAUCAUUCUCUUCAGCUCUUCAUUUUCAGGUAUGCAAAUCCUGCCAUUAAAUCUCAAGAUCUCAUCUUCUCCCAUCACAAAGUCCUUAACUUGAUUUGUACCUAGUAACUCCACAGUACGCUUCAGACUAGGAUCCUCUAACUGUUUUUCCUUUAUUAUUCCAAGGAAAUCAUUAGUUAUAGUUAACUUACUACAACUAAUAUGAUUAAUAUGAAAUUUCACUCCCAAAUUUAGAUCCUUGAACUGCUCAAUCAACUUCUGCUCUUCAAUCAUCAUAGCUGACACCUGUACUGACUUUCUACUCAAAGCAUCUGCAACUACAUUAGCCUUCCCUGGAUGGUACAUCAAUUGAAAAUCAUAAUCCUUCAGAAACUCCAUCCAUCUUCUUUGUCUCAUAUUCAACUCUUUCUGAUCAAACAAAUAUUUUAAACUUUUAUGGUCACUGAACACCUGAAAUUGAGCUCCAUACAAAUAAUGCCUCCAAAUCUUCAAAGCAACACUACUGCUGCCAAUUCUAAGUCAUGAGUAGGAUAAUUUCUCUCAUGAACUUUGAGUUGCCUUGAAGCAUAUGCAACUGCUCUCUUCUCUUGCGUUAAGACACAACCUAAACCCUGAUAGGAAGCAUCACAGUAAACCUCAAAAGGUUUUCUUGUAUCAGGAAUCACUAACACCGGAGCACUAGUUAAUAUUUUCUUCAGCUCUAUAAAACUCUACUCACAUCUGUCAGUCCAAGCAAAAGGUUGAUCUUUGCGAGUUAAUUGAGUCAAAGGAGCUACUACCUUGGAAAAAUCUUCAAUGAACCUUCGAUAGUAUCCAGCUAAACCCACAAAACUUUUUAUCUCUGUGACUGUCCUAGGGUGUUCCCACUGAAGCACUGCCUCCACCUUGGCUGGAUCCACUGAGAUCCCCUGAGCUGAUAUUACAUGCCCUAAGAAAUUGACUUCCUCCAGCCAAAACUCACACUUAGAGAACUUAGCAUAUAAUUGUUUUUCCCUCAAAAUUUCCAACACUAUCUUCAGAUGUUCUUCAUGUUCUUCCUCGGUCCUUGAAUAAAUAAGUAUAUCGUCUAUAAAGACUACAACAAACUUGUCCAAGAAAUGACGGAAAAUUCUAUUCAUGUAAUCCAUGAAAAGAGCUGGAGCAUUUGUUACUCCAAACGACAUCACCACAUACUCAUAGUGUCCAUAACGAGACCUAAAAGCUGUCUUCUGAACAUCUUCAUCUUUUACUAAAAUCUGAUGGUAUCCAGAUCUCAGAUCAAUCUUUGAGAACACUGAGGCUCCAUGUAACUGAUCCAUUAAAUCAUCAAUUCUGGGCAGAGGAUACUUGUUUUUGAUGGUCAACUUAUUCAACUGCCUGUAAUCUACACACAACCGAGACCCUCCAUCCUUCUUUUUAACUAGAAGCACCGGAGCCCCCCAUGGAAAUACAUUGGGCUUGAUGAACUGUUUCUCCAAUAAGUCUUCAACUUGCUUCUUUAGUUCAAUUAAUUCAGCUGGAGCCAUUCUGUAAGGUCCCAUUGACACUGGUCCAGCUCCAGGUGCCAAAUGAAUAGAGAAUUCUACUUCUCUCUUGGGAGGUAAUCCAGGUAUUUCUUCUGGAAAUACAUCCAUGAAAUCCUUCACCACAUGUAUACUACUUAUUUCUUUAUCAUUCUUAACUCCCAUCUGAGUUAAGAUUACAAGCCACCUUGAUCCUUCUUUCAAUUCUGACCACACAUGUUGAGCAGACAUCACAUAUGACUCCUUGGAAUAUGAAAACACUAUUUUCUGUUGACUACAAUCUAUGAGAAUGUGAUUGACAGAUAGCCAAUCCAUUCCUAGAAUAACAUCCAGGUCUUGAAGAGGUAGACAAAUUAAAUUUAUUUUGAAAGUAUCGAUUUUACUUUCGGAUCUUUAGCUGGCACUCACUGACCCCGUCUUUGCUCUACAAAGUGUUGCGGUAGGUAAAGAACUCGAUCUUAAUAUAAAUUUCCAGCAGGCUCUCUGUGAUCUAUCUUGGACUGGAAAUGGAGAUUGAUUUGAAUAUGCAGUCUCUCUAGUGGCAUCUACCCUUUAUCCUUUGUUUGAAUUAUUAAGUAAGUAUAUGCAUUGAUUUGAUAAUUUAUUUUGAUGUAUGCAUUUAAAGGUCCUUUCUUGUGAAAAUAAAUGUUCUGGGAUUGGUUGGCGCAUUACAAAGGCUUGCUUGCAUUGCAUGAAAGCCGCUUUAGCAAGAAAGGCGGGAAUCUCUUCAAGGGUUGACAACUGUGAGAUAUGAACUAUUAUUGGACAUUCAAAACAAACUGUAGAGGUCAAUACUUUUCCUGAUGCAGGGGUAGAGACCAGCAGUUCAAACGACAACUCUUUCACUAAAAGACCCAACUCAUCUACACACAAAAGAAUGUGUCGCUCCUGAAUCAAACAAAACUUUCACACAUCUACCAGCUAUAUAACAUACACCUUGUACCAAAUUACCUGACUGAGAUGUUUCAGCUCCUGACAUAGAAAAAACUCUUCCAGUUGCUUGGGGUCUGCCACCCCCUCCUCUUCCUAGUUGUAAGUUACCUCCAAGAAUUAUCCUCCUCUUAUUAGGGCAAUCUUUUGAUAGAUGUUCUUCUUUAUGACAAGUAUAACAUUUUCUCUCUGAUAAAAGUUUAGGACAAUCUUUCUUCAAAUGGGGUCCAACACAGUGAUAACAUGUGGGUAUCUAUGGUGGUUGUUGCUGAAACUGCGGUGGAGCUGCUCCUGCCCUAUGUUGUGGAGGUCUAGCAUAAGGCAUGUGUUGUUGAUGUUGUACCUUGGCCUUUCCACUAGAAGACCCUCCUGGGUGUGAUCUCAUUACCCUGGAAUCCCCCUUUUCCAAGGUCUCCACCAUCUUCGCCUUCUCCACUAAGCUAGGAAACUCCCUGAUGCACAUAGGUGAUAUAAUCUUUUUCAACUCAUGUUUUAAACCUUCUUCAAACUUCCUACACCUCCAAGCCUCAGAGGUAGCUUGUAGAAUCUGGCUAGAUACUCAAACCUAGCAGCAUAAGCAUUAACUGACAUCUCUCCCUGUUCCAACUUGAGAAAUUCAGUUUCCUUUGCAAACCUUGCACUAUCUGGAAAAUAUUUCUCCAGAAACAUCACUCUAAAACACUCCCAGUCCAAAACUUCAGCUCUGACUUCCAUCAUUUGUUGAGCUCCCAUCCACCAGAACUCUACUUCUCCAGACAACAAAUAUGUAGCAAAAACCAAAUUCUUAUCCUCAGGGCAUGAGGUUGCCUUAAAGAUCUUCUCUAUCUCCCUUAUCCAUUGGUUUGCUUGAUCCGGAGUGGCAUUCCCACUGAACUUAGGUGGGUUAUGCCUCAUGAACUCUGUCAGUCCCAACUGCUCUUGAGACAAACUGACAUGGGAAGUUGUUGCAGCAAAUCUAGCAUUCUCCCAAUGAUGCAUUGUUGUCUGGUGAUUCUGAGCCAUUGCCAUAUUCUGUUGUUGGAUAGCUUUUGCCAUCAUCUCAAUAGCCCUGACAAUCUGGUUCAUCUCAGAAGAAGGUUGGGGAGGGGUAGGAGGUCUAGGAGCCAUUCUAUAAAACAAAGAAGAAAGAUUCAUGAUAAAUCUUUAGAAUUUUAAACUAUGUAGUUUUUACUAACAAACCAAUUAAAGCACACAAAAACAACCCCAUAACUCUUAGGUCUCCUAAGGUUCGAAAAGCUCUGAUACCAUAAUGUAACAUCCCUAAAUUUACCCAUAUAUAUAUAAUAAAAUAAUAGUAAAACAAGCAAUAUCUAAUUAACAAAUAAACAUAUACUACUUGCUGAUAUUUGUAUCUCAAAAAGAUAUCCCUCUUCAUAGGGAUUUAAUAUAUACAUCAAAAAGUUUAAAAACAAAACACAGCAAAGCAUUCAAUUUAAAUCUAUCUAAUCCUCCUCCUGCUCACUGAAGAGCUCUAUUACCUACAACUUCAUCUGCUCCCGUGUAAAUUAACAUGAUCAUCACAGAUUAAAGAAAACAAAAACAAACAAAUAACGGGUAAGCUAGCCAUAUAAAACAAAAUUCUAUAAAAUUUCAAUUUGAAAUUUAUAAAACAUAAAUCAACAAGUCUCAUACAAAUUCUCAAAUCAUCACGUGUCUAUUAAAAUUCAAUAUUCAUCUUUCAUAUGCCAGACUUCCACCGACUCAUAUAACAUAAACACUUGAUUCUACUUCCGGAAGACUCGUGUAUUGAAAUUAGCAUCCAGAGACCUGCACCUGUCAUAUUAUUGUUGUGAAAUCCACACAACCAUGCGCAUAAUUAUCUCAAUAUCUCAUCCACUCAUAUGAUAGGGUAAAAUCAUAUGAACCUCCAUCAACUCUCACCAACUGAAUAACUUCAUCUACGUGAUUACAUUAUAUCAGUAGAGUCAAGAUCGUCUCAUUCACAUGAUACUCACAAGUCAAUACACCCUAACAACAAUCUCAACACGGUAUUUUCUUCCCUGAAAAUACUAUGCCUUGAUCUUACUUUCACAUCAUUGCACACUUCAUUUAACACAUCAAUACACUAUGCAAUCAUAACAUAUAAUUUAACUUUCUAACAAUCCGAAUAUAUCCAAGAAGUUAUUUAAUAAUAGUAAUCCAAAAUAAACUAUGCUAAAAUAAUAAUAAUAGUAAUAUCCAUAUAUGUAUACAAAAUUUUGGAUUGAUCGAAAAUAUUUUAGGUUGAUCUUAAGGACACCAGAGAGCACCAGAAAAUUUGGAUUGAUCGAAAAUAUUUUAGGUUGAUCUAAAUGACACCAGAGAGCACCAGAAAAUUUGGAUUGAUCGAAAAUAUUUUUAGGUUGAUCGAAAUGACACCAGAGAGCACCAGAAAUUUUAGAUUGUUCGAAAAUAUUUUUAGGUUGAUCGAAAUGAUACCAGAGAGCACCAGAAUUACAAAGUCCAUGCUAUAGCUGAAAAUUACUCUAAAUCAACUUCAAGCAACCAAAAAUCAACAACAUUAUAAUUUUAUAACAGCAAUCAUAUCAAACUAGUGUAGGAAUCAAACUGAACAUAAAAAAAAAAAAACAAAUAUAAAUCAAACUUUGUAUAGAGGAAUCAAAAGUCUGCGUUGCAUUGAAUAUUGAAAUGAACAGUGAGGUUCCAAAAUAAUAGGGAUACACUGAUAUGCAAAAUAAAACAACUUUAUACUUAACCAGAAAAAAGCAAUAAAGCAAUACAAACUUGCAAUGUUUAUUACAAUAGUGUAUAAACUUCAGAAAAGCAUACGAAAACUCUAAAGAACUAUCUACAAAUUUUCUUUUCUAUAUAUCAUAGUUGUUAUAGGCAAGGUGAGGUGCUGCAUCAAAUGAAUUUUGAACAAGUCAACCAAGUGCUAAAGUUUCAGAAAAGAAUACGAAAACUCUCAAGAAUUGUCUACAAAUUUUCUUUUCUAUAUAUCACAGCUAUUGUAGGCAAGAUGAUGUGCUGCAUCAAAUGAAUUUUGAACAAGUCAGGCAAGUGUCAAAGCUGCCAAUACAAUGAAGUAUUCUGACCUAGAGAAAAAAGCAAUAGACUAGCAUCCACAUGUGAGUCUUUCCCGAAGUGUGUUCAAAUUGCUCUGAGACAUGGAAACCCAAAUCUGAAAAGUAUCAUACAAUAUGCAUUUUGAAACUCUACUAUACAAAAAUGUGCAAUCCAAGUUUUGCACAAUUAGUGUGAAAAUUCAAAUAAAAUUAUUUUCAGAAUAUGCAAAGAACAAAAUUUAACUACAAGUGUCAAUGGAGGAAUAAUUGAUAUCUUUAUUAUGAAUGGAUUAAUCUAUAACUUGGUUAUUGUGAAUCCAUUGAGUUUUAUUCUAUCAUUGUUUUUCUCUAUUUUGUACUACAUUGUAUUGGCAGCUUUGUAUAAUCAGAAUGAGAGUAGUGCACAGUGGACAUUGAGGUGCCAAAAAAAUCAAACAAAGAUUCAAAAAUUUCUACUUAAAUAAAAAUCAUAAAUAAAUAAAAUUUCUAAAUUAUUCAAAAUUCUAAAUAAAUACAAAUCAUAAAUUAUUUAAGGUCAUACGUAAAUAAAAAUCUCCAAAAAAAUAAAAUUCCAAAUUAUGAAAAAUCUUAAAAAAAUAUAAAUCUAAAUUAUUUAAUAUCCUACUUAAAUAAAAAAAUUACAAUAAAUAAAAUACCUAAAUUAUUCAAAAUUCUAAACCUAUGCAAAUCCUAAAUUAUUCAAUGUGAUACUUAAAUAAAAAUGGUAAUAAAUAAAAUUCCUAAGUUAUUAAAAUUUAUAAAUAAAUUCAAAUCCUAAAUUAUUUUACAUUGUACUUAAAUAAAAAUUUAAAAUAAAUAAAAUUCCUAUAUUAUUAAAGUUUGUAAUACAAGACCUAAAUUACUUAAUGUUCUAAUUAAAUAAAAAUAAAAAAUCAAUUAAAUUUUUAAAUUAUACAAAAUCUGAAACAAAUACAUAUCCUAAAUUAUUUAAUGUCCUACUUAAAUAAUAAUUCACAAUAAAUAGAAUUUCUAAAUUAUUCAAAAUUUUAAACAAAUACAAAUUUUAAAUUACUUCAUGUCCUACUUAAAUAAAGUAUCUAAAAUACUCAAUAAAUACAAAUUUUAAAUUAUUUAAUGUCCUACUUAAAUAAAAAUCUGAAAUAUAUAAAAUUUCUAAAUUAUUUAAAAUUCUAAAUAAACACAAAUACUUACUUAGUUUAUGUUAUACUUAAAUAAAAAUCUCAAAUAAAUAAAUUUUUUAACGUUUUCCAAAAAUCGUAAAUAAAUACAAAAUAAAUGAAAUUUAUAAAUUUUCAAAAUUAAAAAUAAAUAUAAGUCGAAAAAAAUUUAAUGUUAUUCUUAAAUAAAAAUUAAAAAUAAAUAAAAUUUCUAAAUUAUUUAAUGCCAUUCUUAAAUAAAAAAUUUCUAUGUUUUCAAAAUUCUAAAUAAGUACAAAUCUUAAAUUAUUGUAUUUCCUACUUAAAUAAUAAUCUAAAAUAAAUAAAACUUCUAAAAUUUUCAAAAUCCAAAAUAAAUACAAAAUUUAAAUUAUUUAAUAUUAUACUUAAAUAAAAAUCCAAAAUAAAUCAAAUUCCUAACUGAUUCAAAAUUGCUAAAAAAAUAGAAACCCUAAAUAUUUAAUGUCAUAAUUAACAUCCUUAAUUUUACCCAUAUAUAAUUAAAUAAAAGUAAAACAAGUAAUAUCUAAUUACAAAUAAACAUAUACUACUUUCUUAUAUGUGUAUCUCAAAAGAAAUAUCUCUUCAUAGGGAUUUAAUAUAUACAUCAAAAGUUUUAAUAACAAAACAAAGCAUUCAAAUAAAACUAUCUCAUCCUUCAGCGGCUCACUAAGGAGCUUUAUUACCUGCAAUCUCAUCUGCUCCCAUGUAAAACACGAUCAUCACAGAUAAAGAAACAACACAAACAAAUAAUAGGGUAAGCUAUCUAUAUAAAAAGUUUUGAUAUAAUUUAAAUUUCAAAUUUAUAAGCAUAGUUCAUCAAUUCUCAUAUGAUUUCUCAAACCAUCAGGUGUCUAUUACAUUCAUAAAAUUCAUCAUCUUUCAUAUGUUAGACUUCUACUGACUCACAACACAAAGACACUUGCGGAAGACUCGUGCGUUGACUUAGACUCAGAGAUCUGCACUUGUCAUACUAUCUCACUGUGAAAUCCACACAGCUAUGCGCAUAAAGAAUCUCAAUAUCAUAUCUCUUCUAGUAUGACAGGGUUAACUCAUAUAACAGGUCAAGUUAGUUAUCUUUCAAACAACUUACCCAUUCAUAUGAACCUCCUUCGACUCUCACCACCUAAAUAACUUCAUCUAUAUGAUUCCAUUAUCUCAGGAGAGUCAAGAUAUCUCCUUCUAGACGAUCCCUAGUCAAUGCACAUCCUAAACAAUCUUAACACGGUAUUUUCUUUCCUAAAAAUACUAUGUUUUGAUUAAAAUUCAUAUUCUAAACAUCACAAUCUCCAACAUCAAACAAUCAAAUCAUUCCAAAUUUUAGAAUUUCCAAAACACACAACAAUUCAUUUACUACUCAUAUAAAUGUCUUGAAUCAAAAGGGCUGCAAAGUGUAUCUAAAUAACAUCAAGUUUUACUACCCAAAAAGAGAGACAAUAAAAGGAGAAUGAAAGAAAAUUAUCUCUCAACUACAACUAUAUCCAAUAGUUCUCAACUUCUUCAAAUUUGCAUUAGCAAGAACUAAUUCCAACAUGUAUUGUAAUACUUUAAUAUUUAGAAUUAUUGCAAGAUUGUUACACCAAUUACAAAAGGAGAAAAGAAAAGUAUUAUCCAACAUUGUAUAACAUUUAUAGAAUGAAAGAAAAAAGCAUGAACAAUAAAUGUUCUUCUUUUUACUUUACAUAUACCUAGCACCACAUAUCCAACAUUAUUUAAUAAAAAGGAUAAGAAAGCCACAACAUGAAAAUUAAAGUUUGGUCACCAAUUGUUAAACCCAACAACUAAUUUAUCUCAAAAGCACCAGAAUUCAGAUUACAAUCAACAUAGCAAUUCUCUAAAUAAUCAACUCAUAGUUUACUUUAAAAAUUGUCACAAACAAUUUUUAGCUCAUAAACUGAAUCAUGACGAAAUAAUCAAAAUAUAUGCUCUGAAAUUGUCAAGAAAAAUCAUCACAAACAUUUUUCAAAUACAUUAUAUACAUUCUACACUUAUAUACAUUCUACACCGUCUACUAUAUCUAAAUUUUUCAUUUCAAUCUCAAACAAUUUCCAAUCUACACAAAAACAAGAGAUCGUGCAAGAAAAUUUGAAACUGGUGACCACGUCACCCCCACAUCCAGAUCUUCUAGCCUAGGGUUCUAUUUGGCAAUUUAAAACUAGCUUUCCUUACCUGAAUUUUGACUGAUGCUCGCUAGGAGCUCCAAAUCUACCAAAAGCCUAAAGGUAAUUUAACCUGCACCACAGAAUCCUGAUAAAAAUCUAACUAUAUAACUAGGACCUUUUGUUAACAAAAUUAACCCUCCUGAAGCUAAAAGAAUCAUAUGCAAAGCAUAAAUCUAAUAAGAUCAAAAUUAACUCAAAAGAAAAAGGGGCCAAGAAUGAACUUACUCUAUCUGAGAUUUUGAUCGAACAAUCUUAUAGGGUUCACUGCCAGGAGUCCAAUGGCAGACUCCGAUUGCCAAACUGAUAAGCGAGAAGGUUAGAAUCUUAGGGAGAAGGGAAAGAAAAGGAAAAAGAGGAACAAAACUGAACUUACUCUAUAAGAGAUUCUGAUCGGGCAGUCUUGUAGUCUUCGCUGCCAGGAGUCCAAUGGCAGACUCCGAUCGCCAAACUGAUAAGUGAGGAGAUCAGAAUCUUAGAUAGAAGGGAGAGAAAGGAAAAUUGGAACUUGUAGAGAGAUGGUGGUUAUUUUAAAAUGAAACCUGAAUAACCGAAUUUUCUAUUUGUUCCCGCCGGUUGACCUGGGUUGUCUUUAUGCGUGGCUUGUCCUCACGAGCUAGGGCACCUUCGUUCUGGUCCGUCUGUGAGUACCUGAAAAGAAGUGAACAAAAGGGGCGCCCUCGCGACCGUUUGCACUCCGACGAUCAAGUCAACUAGCGAGAAGCAUCAAAGGUGACGCACCUCCGUAUCGGAACACCGUAAACGAAUGCUCUGAAGGUGGUUAGAAAUAACUGAGUGGCUAAAACUGUGUUGCCCUAAUCGUUUUUCUGCACACAAUGGGUGCGCCGUCACAACAACUAGGGUUUGUGCUCUUGUGUAGACUGUGAGAAUUAGGUUAAAACUCAGAUCCUUUUCAAACGUCCCAAGGUCCCUUUUUAUACAUCUCUCGCAUUUAAAACGCGUUAAAGCGCAUUGAAAGCGUAUAAAAAUAUUCCUUGGAACGUUCGAAUCUUAACUGAAUUAACGCGUACCUUAGCGAACUUUUACAAAAGCCUUGAUGUUUUCAAUGCUUAUUGCCACGUGUUCUUCUGACUUAAUCGUGACUCUUCGUGGAGGGCCCUAUAGCGCCGUAACCCAAUUUAGGGUUAAUCCAUCGUGCAAACCCUCCUUUCUUGAAGUGCAUUUGGCGCAAGUGGGUGACUUUCUGGGUGCCAACUCAUGCGCCCCAACUUCUAGUCACUCGCCUUGGGAGUGUAUCUACCUUCCUCUCACACCAAGCACCUGGUUCACCCCUGGGCAUGACCCUCUCGUGGGUCGUAUCUAUCCCGGGGGUCUCCCUGAGGUGACGUGGGUACUUCACGAGUCAGGUUACUCCCUGCUGGUACCAGAACUAUGGCCUUGAAGCCACCUUUCUCUUCUCUUUGUAACUGCUCUGGGCCACACCUUAACCUGGCAAUGCUUCAACCUGGCGAUGCCUUCCUUAGGCGACGCCUCCUCUUGGCGACGCCUUACCCUGGUGACGCCUUCUCUUGGCAACUCCUUCUCCUGGCGACGCCUUCUCCUGGCGACGCCUUCUCCUGGCGACGCCUUCAGUGGUCAAUCUGUUGACUUCCCUUCUUUGGGGCCCUCGAGUGGUCCCACCAUAUGUUGACUUUGACUUUGGUCAACGCCCAAGGACGGGACGGUGCACUAUUUAUAUGUCAUUUUCAUUUUAAUAAUAAAAUAUUCAGGUAUCAUUUAAAAUAUACCACUUCUACUCUAAGGUUAUUUUCUAGAUCCUUACAUCAUACGUAAAUAAAAAUACAAAAUAAAUAAAAUUCUUAAAUUAUGUAAAAUCUUAAAUAAAUACUAAUCUAAAUCUAACAUAUUUAGUGUCUUACAUAAAUAAAAUAUGAAAUAAAUAAAUCUACAAAACAUAAGCGGGAUGGAAAAUUUUUUGUACGUUAAAUGACUUCAAAAAAAAGGUGAUAAAAUUGUUUUUGAAAUAGAGGUUUACAUACCCAGUCCUAAAUAAAUACAAAAUCUAAAUGAUUUAAUGUUUCACUCAAAUAAAAAUUUGAAAUAAGUUCAAUUCCUAAAUUUUUAAAAAUCCUAAAUAAAUACAAUCCUAAAUUAUUUAAUGUCAUACUUAAAUAAAAAAUCGUAAUAAAAAAUUUAUAAAUUGUUUAAAAUUCUAAACAAAUACAAAUACUAAAUUAUUAAAUGUCAUAUUUAAAUAAAAAUUUGUAAUAAAUAAAAUAUCUCAAUUAUUUAAAAUUAUAAAUAAAUACAAAUCUAAAUUAUUGAAUGUCAUACCUUCAUAAAAAAUUAUAUUAAAUAAAAAUCCUAAAUUAUUUAAAAUUGUAAAUAGUUACAAAUUCUAAAUUAUUGGAAUUAUUUCAAAUUUUAAACAAAUACAAAUUAUUUAAAAUUUUAAACAAAUAAAAAUCCUAAAUUAUUUAAUGUACUACUUAACUAAAAUAUCUGAAAUAAAUAAAAUUAUUUAAUUAUUUAAAAUAUUAAUAAAUAAUAAUUCUAAAUUAUUUAAUGUUCUACUUAAAUAAAAAUUUAAAAUAAAUUAAAAUUUUAAAAUAUUCAAAAUCCUAGGUAAAUCUUAACUUAUUUUAUGUCAUACAUAAAUAAAUUUUAAAUUUUUUUUGAAUAAAUAGUAAACCAGAAAUUAUUUUAUUUCUUACUUAAAUAAAAAUAUAAAAUAAAUAACAUUUCUAAGUUUUCAAAAUUCUAAAUAAAAAAAAUUCAAAAAUUUGUAAUAUCAUUCUUAAAUAAAAAUAAAAAAUCAAUAAAAUUUCUAAAUUAAUCAAAAUUUUAAAUGAAACCAUAUCUUAAAUUAUUUAAUAUCAUUCUUAAAUAAAAAUCUAAAAUUAAUAAAAAAAAUUAGUUUUCCAAAAGGCUAAAUAAAUAAAAAUCUAUACAAAAUAGGGAUAUAAUUUUGACAACUACUUCGAUGACCCGAUCUAGAAAAUAAAUAUGAUGGGAACAUAAAUAAUUCACGUGGUGCAUAUUUAAUGUGGUUUAAAUUGUACAGAAUUGGAUUGCUGUGUAUAUAAAAAAUAUAGCGUUCAUAUUCAUGUGUAUUGAAUUAAAUUUAUAAUAUUUUUUUUCUACUUUAUUAUUGAAAGUUAGGUAAAGAAUAGAAAUAUUAUAGAACGAGUUUAUUACGUUUCCCAAAAAGAGAGUAAAAUAUUGUGUAGAAAUUAAAGAUGCCUAAUAAGAGUUGAGGUAUUAUUUAUAAAUAAACAAUGAAAAAAUAAUGAUGCCUUCAUACUUCACCAGAUUCUUAACUGCCUUUUUAAUAGAUUCUACCUUCCUUAUUAUCAUUUCAUUUAAUACAGUUUCUUAAACGGAUACACGGUUUCAUGUCUCUGAAUUAUGCUUCUAAAUUAUAGGGGUUGACCAAGAAUAAGAAGAAGAUGGGGAUAUAAUAAUUACAACUACCAAACAUGAUGGCCCCAUCUAGAAAAUAAAAAUCUAAAAUAAAUAAAAUUUAUAAGUUUUUUAAAAUUCUAAAUUAAUAUAAAUUUUAAAAAUUUAAUGUCAUUCUUAAAAAAAUUUAUUAUUUAAUUGCAUUUUUAAAUAAUAAUAUAAAAAUUAAUUAAAUUUUUAAGUUUUUCAAAAUCUUAAAUUAUUUUAUUUCCUACUUAAAUAAUGAUUAAAAUAAAUAAAAGUGAUUACAUACGAAUUUUUGCGUAUUUAAUUCAGUAUAUAAAUAGACGUUACAUACUGAUUUUUUUUAUAUGUAAGCCAAAAGUGAUUAUAUAUGUUUUUAAUCAGUAUGUAAUUUUGACUUCACAAAGCGAGAAUAAUUACAUACGGAUUGUAUCCGUAUAUAAAGUAUUACAAACAAAAUAUUUUUAAUAAUUGUAAUAAUAAUAAUAUUGAUAUUAAUGGUAAUAUUGAUAUUAAUAUUUUUAUUAAUAUUAAUGAUAAACAACCGGUUGAAUUUUUGUUAAUCAAGUUAAACAAUUUUGUUUGAUUUCUUUCUUGAUUUCUGUAUCUGUGAUUCUGCAUUGAAGUUCAUUAUACUUUCAAAGUUUGCGAAAAUCUUUCAUAAACAAUUCAUCUCCCCCCUCUUAUUUAAUGCCAUAUAUUCUAAUAAAAACUUCCUCAACUUGAGAAGUAAAACCCACGGACCUAGUCCAGAAAAUGCCUCCCCUAUGAAAGUAGGAUUACAAUAUUUGUUUCUCUCACUCUAUGAGGAUAACACUUAAUCUCACCCAAGAAGAAUGGAAUACAAAGUCUCUUUAGCAUCCCACUCACCAUUAUGGUGGUUAUCUAUUCUCUCAUUUACACUUUAUCUCUUCUCCUUGCUUGUCUUUUUUCUUUCUCACAAGUUUCCUUUAUAUAGAGAAUGAGAGUAAGACUUCUUCAUAAAGAGAUAGUAGAUAAUUAAUGCUUAUCACAUUUUCAAGAGAGAGUUACAAAUUCAAGACUUUUGAAAUGACCAUCAUUGAAUAUAUUCAAUGGAUCAAUUACCAAUAUUCAUUGGUCGGGAUCUCCUAGUAAACUAAGAAGGGAUUCCCAACAUAAGGUUCAACAAAACCAUAUAAAUAAGAGCAAAAAUGAAAAAAGUCUAUGAAAUGUUUGAAAACAUCAGAAUACCAAUCACCUACCUAAGCCCCUAUUUGGAUUGGGGGGUGGCACUGUAGCCGCAAACGGAUGUGGGGUGCCACCCCCGUUUGGAUCUAGUCAUGGUUGAGGGUGUGGGUGAGGGUGAGGGGAAAGUUGGGCCAAAUGAGAGAGCAUUCAGAAGUGAAGAGAAAGGAGAGGGUGAGGGAGUGAGUGCCAAGUAGGAUGAGUGAAAUAUCAUUUGUGCCCUCACUAGAUUUUUGGAUGUAUGUGGGCAUUGUACGUGAAACAUGCAUGCACAUUUGUGAAGAGAAGCUUUUCAGCAACAAGCACAUGAGAUUCCUGACCAUUGUUCAGGAAUCUGUUUGACCAAGUUAAAAGCUCAAUGAAUGCAUAGGCAAGUUGGUGAGAGGGUGGAUGAGCGUAAUAAAGAGGUGCAACAAUAUAUAUGUGGUUCCCAAGCUCACAAACCUCACAAAGCAAAGGCAAUUUGGUUCUUCACAAAGCACAUACCUAGAGAGCUUGGAGAGGGUCGUGAGUGCGCUUGGUUCUUUGUUUGUAACCUCAGGUGAGCUUUGUGUGAGUUUAGUUUCAUUCUUAAUCGAUUAUCACUGAAAAUGAACGUAUGCCAUAAUCGAUUAUGUUGAAAAAAAUAGUUGAUAAUCAAUUAUGUUCAUGACAUAAUCGAUUAUCUGUAAAAAUUCCCGUGAGAUAAUCAAUUAUGGUCGUUUUUGCACUGGAAGCAUAAUCGAUUAUGUGCCAUAAACAUUUGGAUAAUCGAUUAUGUGCUAUUUUACACUGGGGUGAUAAUCGAUUAUGGUUCUAAUUUUCCAGAUUUAUGAUUUUAUGUUUUUUGAACUAAUUUUUGAAUGAUUUUUUUUUUCAGGUAAAGUUUGAUAAAUCUUAGACUUGCAUUGUGUUGUGGUUUUGUUCUGCUCUCUUGAGGUAUGUGUGUUUUUUUUUUUAAAUUGUGUUUGGAUGUUUAGUUUUAUUUUGAAUUUAAUUUGUUUAAAAUAUUUUAAAGUAGUUGUUAAUUAGUUUUUAAUUUUAGAUGUGAAUGUUUAGGAAAAUUGAUUAUCUAAAAUUGUAUAUUGUUAAUGUAAAAAUUUCAUGAAAUUUGAAUAUGUUAUUUUUGUGACAUGAAUUGAAUUGAAUUUAUAGAUUGAAAUUAGAGAUUUAAAUUUGUUAUUCUAAAAUAUUGUUUUUAAAAAGAUAAUAAAAUUUUUUGCAGUAAUUUAAAAACAGAAAAAUCAAAUAUACAGAAGAUUUUUUUUUUUAUUUUAACUUUGAAGCUGUUAAUAAAUAAAUUUUUUAUUUAAAUUUACAGAAUAGACUACCUUUUAGAAAUUAUUAUUUUUACAGAAUGUAAAUAUUAUUUUUAAUGUUAUUUUUUAAAACAAAUAUUUUAUUAAUUAAAAAAACAGAAAAAGAUUACAUAAUAAAUUAGAAUUUUUAAUAAUAUGUGUACAUAGUUAAUGCUAUUAUGAAAAAAUUAAAACAAAUAUUGUAGUAAUUAAAAAAAACAGAAAAAAUUACAUAAUAAAUUCGAUUUUUUAAUAAUAUUUGUAGAUAGUUAAUAUUUUUUUAACAUUUAAUGUUUUAUAAAAGAAAUAUUUAUUUAUUUGAAAUGAUUAUUUUUAUAGAAUGGAAAUACAAAUUUUGAAUGUUAUAUUUAUAAUUUUUUUCCAUUUUACAUAGACAUACCAUAAUGUUAUGAAAAUAUAUAUAAUUUAUUUCUCAUAAUUUACAUAAAUUGUUAAUAUUAUUAUUUAAAAAUUAAAUAUAAUAUUGUAGUAAUUUAAAUAAAACAGAAAAAGAUUACGUAAUAAAUUAAAAGUUUUACUAAUAUGUGUACAUAGUUAAUAUUUUUUGAACAUCAAAUUGUUUAUAAAAAAUAGAUUUAUUUAUUUGAUAUUAUUAUUUUUACAGAAUAGAAAUAGAAAUUUAGAAUUUUUUUUAUAUUUUUUAAAAUUAAAUUCUUUAUAAAUAAUACAUUUAUUUAUUUAUAGUUAAUAUUUUGACAUGAUGCAUUAAUUCAUAUUUGACAUGUUAUAAAUAAUAAAUGUUAACAGAAGUUUUUAUAGAAAUUAAUAAUGUUAUAGAAAGUUUUAUUGUUACAUACUGGAAAAUGUAAUUAAAAAAAUUAAUAAUGUUAUACAAUUUUUUAUUUUUUAUUGUUACAAAAUGUAAAUAUAAUUUAAAAUAUUUAAAAUAUUAUGGUACUAAAACCCUAAAUCAAAAAAGUUAAGAGAACAUAUAUUUAUUUCUUGAUUGAUUAAAUUAUAAUUUUGUUAGUCUAUAUUUAUUUUGUUAUAUUAGAUAAAUUAAAUGAUAGAGUCAUUUACAAUAGAAUGUUUAUUAUAAUUAUUUAAAAUUAGAUAUUAGGGUUACUGUAUUGGUGUAGUUUUACACUGAAACGGUAACUGCAUUCGAUAUGUUGUAUUGACACUUAUCCAUAUCCAUAAUCAUGGUUCUGAAUCAAAGUUCUACAUUUUGUGGAUAACAUUAUGAAUUCGGGUAGCCAUUACGACGAGGCAGAAAUGGUACAUUUUGAGGAAACGGUUGCAAUUUAUGAUGACCUUGUUGCGGCGAACAUGAAUUUAAUUUCACAAAUACAAGAACAAAUUAAAAAAAAUACUGAAGGUGCUUCUGUGAUGAUCCUUUGUAUGUUGGUUUUGGAUUGAAUUUGUUACGUACGGUGUGUACUACAAGGAACCGUAUUAGUGAGUUCCAACCACAAAAAGAGCGUCGCAGACAAGAAUUGAUGGAGUACUUGGUUCACACUGAACAAUGUCGUGAUAUUAUUCCCAUGGGACCAGAAGCUUUCCUUCAAUUAUGUCAAUGAAUACGAGGAACUGGACUUGUUAAAGAUGCAUAUCGAUCAACCGUGGAAGAACAAGUUGUGAACUUUCUACACAUUAUUGGGCAUAAUGUGAAGAAUCGAAGUGUGUCAUUCUUUUUUCAUCGGUCUGGAGAAACAGUUUCCCGUCACUUUCAUAAUGUUUUGAGUGCAAUAUUAAGGUUGGAGGGGGAAUUCUUAAUUCAACCAAAUGGAAUGGUUGUAGAAUCGCACAUCCUUAACAACAAUCGAUUUUACCCCUACUUUAAGGUUUGUUUAUGAUAAUAUUAUUUUAAAUCACGUAUCAUGUUUUAUUUAUUUUGUGUUUAAUAAAACUUAUGAAAUUUGGUUUACAUUAGCAUUGUUUGGGGGCAAUAGAUGAAACUCAUGUAUGUGUUAAGGUUUUACGUGCUGAUGCACCUCGUUUUCGAGGGAGAAAAGAUUGGCCAACUCAAAACAUAUUUGUAGUGUGUGACUUUAACAUGAAGUUCACAUAUGUCCUGGCCAGUUGGGAAGGAACAACCUUGGAUUCAAGGAUAUUAAAAGACGCUUUGGUACGAGACGAUCCUUUGGUUAUUUCAGAAGGUUAGUUUUAGGGGAUUGAGUGUGCAGAAGAAUAAAUAGGUUAUAGUAGUAUAUACUAACACAACUUUCCAAUAUUUUGUAGGAAAAUACUAUCUUGGUGAUGCAGGUUUUAUGUUAAAACCAAAUAUAAUAAAAUCUUAUCGCGGGGUUAGAUACCAUUUGAAAAAAUAUUCGCGAAGAGGACCACAAAAUGCUAAAGAGCUAUUUAAUCUUCGACAUUCAUCACUUAGAAAUAUAAUUGAGUGAACAUUUGGGGUAAUGAAAAAACGAUUUCCAUUUAUUAGUAUAUGUUUAUGUUUGUUUUUUAUAUAUUAAUAUUUGGUUUUUAAUUUUUUAUUUCGCGUCUCUUUAUGUGUUUUAAAUUAUUAAUUAUUGUAAAAUUCAUUUUACUUUAUUUUUUAAUAUAUUGAUCUUAUCUAUUAUUAUUAUUAGUUUAUGUAAUUGUUAAUUAAUGUAAUUUUGACUUAUAAAUUAUGAUAGAACUCAUAUUAAUGUCAAAUUUAAUAUUUUACGUUUUAGAAAAUCAAAUUUAAUUUAAUGUAAAUUUUCUAUAAUUUAUUUAAUAUUAUAAUAUUAUUAUUUAAAUAUGAAAGCUUAGAAAAAAUAACCGUUUGUUGCACGGUCAAAGUUCUAGUAGAAAUAGAAAUAGAGGGGCACGUGACGUCUCCUUUUGAUUACAGCUAAUAAGAAUCCAGAAAUCUUUGAAGGGUCCCGGAAUAAUGUAAUCACCUUCCUUAUUAUCAUCUAAAUUAUUGGGGUUGACCAAGAAUAAGAAGAAGAUGGGGAUAUAAUUGUUACAACUACCAAACAUGAUGUCCCCAUCUAGAAAAUAAAAAUCUAAAAUAAAUAAAAUUUAUAAGUUUUUUAAAAUUCUAAAUUAAUAUAAAUCUAAAAAAUUUUAAUGUCAUUUUUAAAAAAAAAUAUAAAUUAUUUAAUUGCAUUUUGAAAUAAUAAUAUAAAAAUUAAUUAAUUUUUUAAGUUUUUAAAAAUCUUAAAUUAUUGUAUUUCCUACUUAAAUAAUGAUUAAAAUAAAUAAAAUUUAUAAAAUUUUCAAAAUUCUAAAUAAAUAUAAAACUUAAAUUAUUUAAUGCUGUAUUUAUAUAAAAAUCCAAAAUAAAUUAAAUUUUUAAAUUAUUCAAAAUUGCUAAAAAAACUAAAAACCGUAAAUAUUUAAUGUCAUACUAAAUAAAAAUACAAAAUAAAUAAAUUUUUUAAAUUAUUUAAAAUAUUAAAUAAAUACAAAUCUAAAAUAUUUAGUGCCUACAUAAAUAAAAUCUAAAAUAAAUAAAUCAACAAAACAUGAGCGAGAUGGAAGAAUUUUCGUAUGUUAAAUAACUUCAAAGAAGACGAUAAGAUUGUUUUUGAAGCAAAUGUUAAUAUAUCAAAUAAUGAAAUUCGAGUUAUUCACCUUUUAGGAUAAAUUCAUUUUUUAUGAAACUGUUUAUUUUUAGUUAGUUUCUUCAAAAUUUGUGUCAGUUUGUUGAUAGUUAAACAAUUUAUUUAUUUGUGUAUAUUAUUUAUGUUUAAGCAUUGUUUAUAUUAAUUUUAGUAUGUUUAGUUUUUUAUUUAUUCGUAUAUGCUCAUGUUUAUUUCUUAUAUAUUAAUAUUUACUUUGUAAUUAAUUAAUUUAUUUUUCUAUUUACAUUUGCAUUCAUAUAUUUAAUUAUAAAAAAUAUAUUUUUAUACAAAAUAGUGAAAGAAAACGUGCCAAAUAAAUCAACAAAAUUUGGAGUGGGAUGGAAAAAUUUAUGUAUGUUCAAUGACUUCAAAGAAGACAAUAAAAUUAUUUUUGAAGCAGAAGUUAUCAUACCAAAUAAUGAAAUUCUAGUUAUUCGCCUUUUAAGAUGAAUAAUUUUUUUUACAUAACUUUUUAUUAUUACUUAUUUUUCUCAAAAACUUUGUGUUGUUGAUACUUGAACAAUUUAUUUAUUUACAUGUAUUAUUUAUGUUUAUGCAUUGUUUAUAUUAAUUUUAGUAUGUUUAGUUUUUUACUUAUUCAGAUAUGCUGAUGUUUAUUUCUUAUAUAUUAAUCGUUGCUUUGUAAUUUUUUUUUAUUUAAUUUUUUCUUUACAUUUACACUUAUAUAUGUAUAUGUAUUUAAUUACGUAAAUUAUAUUCUUAUACAAAAUAGUGAAAGAAAAUGUGUCAAAUAAAUGAACAAAACUUGCGGCGAGAUGAAUUUUUUUUUGUAUGUUAAAUAACUUCAAAGAAGGUGAUAAGAUUAGUUUUGAAACAGAUGUUAACAUACCAAAUAAUGAAAUUCGAGUUAUUCAUCUUUUAGCAUGAUUUUUUUUACAUAACUGUUUAUUAUUACUUAUUUCUCUCAAAAUUUGUGUCAGUUGUUGAUACUUGAACAAUUUAUUUAUUUAAGUUUAUUAUUUAUCUUUAUACAUUGUUUAGAUUAAUUUUAGUAUGUUUAGUUUUUUUGUUUAUUCAUACAUGCUAAUGUUUAUUUUUUAUACAUUAAUAGUUGUUUUGUAAUUUAUUUCUUAUAAGAACAAAAGUGAUUAUAUACGGAUUUAAUUCAAUAUGUAAAUAGACAUUACAUACUAAUUUUUUUCAUAUGUAAGCCAAAAAUGAUUAUAUACAAAUUUAGUCAGUAUGUAAUUUUGGCGCCAUGAAGCAAGAAUAACUACAUACGGAUUGUAUCCGUAUAUAAAGAAUUACAUACAAAAAUAUUUUUAAUAAUUGUAAUAAUAAUAGUGAUAAUAUUGAUAUUAAUAUUAAUAUUAAUGAUAAACAACUGGUUGAUUUUUUGUUAAUCAACUUCAACAAUUUUGUUUGAUUGCUUUAUGGAUGUCUGUAUCUGAGAUUCUGCAUUGAAGUUCAUUAUACCUUCAAAGUUUGUGAAAAUUUUUCAUAAACAAUUCAUCUCCCCUCUGGUUUAAGACCAUAUAUUCUAACAAAAACUUCCUCAACUUGAUAUGUAAAACCCACGGGAUCUAGUCUAGAAAAUGCUUCCCCUAUAAAAGUAGGAUUACAAUAUUUGUUUCUUGGGAGGAUAACACUUAAUCUCACCCAAUCUAUUCUCUCAUUUAAGCUUUAUCUCUUUUUUCUUUCUCACAAGUUUCUUUUCUUUUAUAUAGAGAAUGAGAAUAAGACUUCUUCAUAAAGAGAUAGUGGAUAAUUAAUGCUUAUCACAUUUUCAAGAGAGAGUUACAAAUUCAAGACUUUUGAAAUGACCAUCAUUGAAUAUAUUCAAUAGAUUAGUUACCAAUAUUUAUUGGUCAGGAUCUCCUACUAAAUUAAGAAGCGAUUCUCAACAUAAGAUUCAACAAACCAUAUAAAUAAGAACAAAAAAAAAAAAAAGUCUAUUAAAUGUUUGAAAACAUCAUAAUACCAAUCACCUACUUAAAUGUUUGAAAACCUUUUGUAGGUACAAUCCUCGUAGAAACCCAAGACCAAAUGCAAAAAUAGAAAGUGGAAGGAAACAUUACUAUGAUAAAGAGAAGUUAUUAUAUCAGCCUUCUACAAUAACAAUGAACAUAAAUAUUGUUUGAACAUUAAAAUUUUCUAUUAUUAUUUUAAAAAAUAAGAUGGUAAAAUAUGAGUUUCAUUCGAGUAAAAUUAAAAUAAACUAAAACUAUUAAAAAAAUAUCUUACCAAAUGUAAAUAAAAUGGUUUUAUUUUAGAAUGCUUUAUAAAAUACAUUAAAUCGAUUUACUCAACUACGAAGAUAAGAAAAACAUCUCUUCUUCAAACAAUGGUUUAUUAUGUGCUAUUGGUUUGUUUUAGUAAGUCAUAAACAAUAGAUUAAGUAACUUUUCAAAAUUUUACUAAGGAAAACAUCAUAGGUGAAACAAGAGACUCUUCCUCAUCAAGUUACACUUUCAUUAAAAAAAACUAAUAAACAAGUGUGUACCAAAAAAAAAAGUCUUAUAAUGGUACAACUUUAACUAAUAAAUAAUAAAAAAUUACUUUAAUUGCCACUUUUAUGCAAAGUGUUAUCUCCUUGUAAUGAUUUAUUCAAUCUUGAAUAAAUUUUAGAAUCUUAAUAUGAAGUCAUGGGUUGAUCACUGAGGGGCAAUCCAAUUAAUAUAUUAUAACAGUCCAAUCCAAGAAAUUAAUGACGAUACCCGCAUAAUCGUCAUAAAGAAGAGAGUGCAAAAUUAGUGGAGGUGGAGAGUUACGAAAAUAUAAGAAGGAAUUAAGUUAGUAAAUAGAACAAUUACAAAGAAAGGCAAGAGAGAAGUUUUAUAAGAAAGAAGAGAGGCCAAAGGGGAAAAAAAAUUGGAAACUGUUUUCGAAUACCAUUGAUUCUCUACCUAAGGAUCAUCUCUAUCGGCUAAUUAAUAGAAACCAUCAUAUCGACUAUUUUGACCUGCAAUGCAUGCUCAUUUUGCAUUUUUUAUUUUAUUUAUAAUAAAGUGAUUUGUUUACAAUAGAAAAUAACAUUUUUUUUUAGAUUUUUAAGGUUACACACAUCAUUACCAAAAAGAAAGAACAUUUCCAAAAAAAAAAAAACAAUUGACAGAGAGUACAAUUUAAAGACAUCAUCUUACACCUGGUAUAAGUUUUAAACAAAUAUUCUAGUGAAUGUUUUCAUUAUUAGCUUACUCAUCAAAUCUUCAAACUCCUCUGGUUUUUUCAACCUUUCAACCACACAAUUCAAUAGCUUCUCUAAUUUGAGAAGGAGGAAGUGUCACUGUAGUCCAAUCCAAUAGUGGAAUCCUCUGCUUUGGUUCUAGGGUGAUACAAAAUUUGUAUUUAUCCCUUUCCUAUUUGCCACAGUAUUUAGUGUUUCCAACACGUCCAAAUCAGGAAACCUCAGCUUUGCUUCCAAGAGUCCACCGUAAACUCCACUCAAGUAUGUUCUAUUUUCAGCUGAGGGUAUUAUCUCCAUCCCUUUAGGUGUCCAUUCAAUUCCAGAACCCUUCGCCAAGGCAAUGCUAAUGGUGUCAGCAAUAUCUAGAGAAGGAAAUCUAUUUUGUGCCUCAAAAACUCCAUCUUUCAUUCCUUCAUACCAUAAUUCUCGCGUUAUUGCUUCCUCCUCCUCACUUUCCUUAUGGCUAGAGGUUGGAGCUCCUCCAUCCAUCAUUCCUUGAUCAAAUAUCUCUCUCACCAUUUCUUCCACCAGAGGAGGUGAAUCCAAAUGUGGAAAGCUCGGCUUUGCUUCAGUGGGUGAUCCAAAAGUUUCUGUAAUCCCUUUCCUUUUUGCCACAGUAUUAAUUGUUGGCCACAUGUCCAAAUCAGGAAACAUCAGCUUUGCUUCUAAGAGUCCACUGUAAAUUCCACUUAUGUAUGUCCUGGUUUCAAUCGAUGUUUGCACUUCAUCUUCAGGUCUCCAUCUAACCCUAUAACCCUUCUCCAAAGCAGCUCUUCUGGUUUCAACAAUAUCAAGUGAAGGAAAUCUAAUAUGUGCCUCAAGAAGUCCAUCCUCCAUUCCUUCAACAAACAUCUCUCUCACUAUUUCUUCCACCCGAGGAUCGUAGCCUUCCUCCUCCUCACUUCCCGUAUGGCCAGAGGUUGAAGCUUCUUCUACAUUAUGCAGUUUCACUGGAUCCUUUAGUCUUAUCAACGCUAGAUCACCUAAUAUAGUAACUUUAGGCUUUCCAUCAUCAUUUUUUAGCACAUCUAGAAUCUGCCUCAGAGUGGAUUUUGGAUCUUUUAAAGCUGACCCUACUGCUUUUAAUGCAUUCUCAGCAUCCUGGGAUAUUCUCUGUAGUUCUCCCAAUACAAUUUGCAUGGAAUGGUUUUCAGCCAUUCCUUCAAACCCCCCUCUUCCUUUGUUGUCCAGCCAUUCAUUCAACGUCCUCUUAUAUGAUUCGUCCAAACCUAGACUCUCUAUCAUCAUUUUAUAUUCCUCCAUAUCAUCUUUUUUAGGAACUAUUGCCUGUGGCAUCUCGUCUGGAUCCAUGGGAUCGGGAGAAGCGAAUACGAGAUCAUCCAUUUUGGUUUUGUCUUCUUCAUACACAAAAGCUCCCCAACCACUUAUCACGAAGGAGGAAGUGGCUUUAUACGCAAUCUGCACCAGAUUCCACUCCUUCUUCAUCAGAAGUCGGUCAAGGCCAAGCCACUCCUUGUCACUGAACAAAACUCGUAGAUCAAAGAUCAAGAUGUGUUCUGCUUCAAUUCUGAAUUUGCGAGACCCUUUGCAAGGAACAUAUUGACCGUUGAUAAGUAAACGCAGAUCAACAACGCGACGACGAGCAAAUUUUUCCCUUUCACUCUCAUCUUGGAAGUGGAAGAUCAUGGCCAGAGCAAUGUUAGGGAACUUCUUACGAACCCAGAAACGAGGAUACCUUUGGACCCCCACAUAGUUAAACCAUUCUGGAAUCUCAGUUGUAAAUGGCAUCACCAGUUCUAUUCCACGUACCCCUUUCUUCUUCACCUAUCAGAUUAUUAUAACACUUUCAAUUGUCACUUCUAUAUUUAUUUUAGAAAAUUUGUAAAAUAUUAUUUUCAUAAAAUAAAGGUACAAGAUUUAACUUAAGUAAUAAACUCAUGCUACCUGAUUCCAUAACAUGUCUGAUGUCUCUCUAGUUAACUUGAAACAAAAUCUUGCGUCUACUUUCUGAACAGUUGACGACAACUCUGAAAUUUCUUCAAGGUUUGAACAAUGAUGAACAUAAAGAAUUCUCAAGUUAGUGAAUUCAGGAAUUUUUUUAAGCUUCUCACAUCCAUUCAGUUCGAGACUUGUCAAGUCACCACAUUCCUUGAUGCAUGAAGGGAUAGAAACAAAAUUGUUCUCUGAAGCAAUCAAUUCUUUCAAAUUUGGAAAGUAGCAAAGAAUAGCAAGAAGAUCUUCAUCAGACAAGUUAUCAUUUUCGACAUUCAGUGAUUGUAAUUUUGGACGAACAUCGGCUUUUGAAGGGUGCUGCACCAAACUUCUGAAGGAUUCUUGAAGUUUGGAGCAUGCUUCGAUUUUGAGGGAAACAACAUUUGGCAACUUGAAUAAGCUGCUUGGUAGACAUUUAAGUUCCCUGUUAUUUGAUAUGUCUAUACAUUCAAGCCCAGUAAGUUUACCAAUGGAUUCUGGAAGCUCUUGAAUAGCAGUAUUUAUCAUAUAAAUCUUCAAUGGCUUUGUCAUUUCUAGCCUUAUCUCCGGGAAGUGACCAAGGCUUUCACAUAAAUUAAGGUCAAAGACUUCUAAAGACGGCAGAAACAUUUUAGACACGAAUUUUUCGAGUUUUAUGCAUCCUGAAACACUUAAAUGAGCAAGCCUUUUCAGCUCACCAACAGAUUCAUGUACUGCAGUUAGCUCUCUACAAUGAUCAAGUCUCAGUUCUCUUAGAAUCUGAAGUUCAGACAUAUCAGGUAUUGUUUUGAUACUUUGGUUAUAUGAAAAGUCCAUAAUAGUCAAGCAUGGAAAUUUCUGCCAAAUAGAAAGUACAAAAAAUAUAUUAUUUGGAGCAUUUUGAGUUAUUAACUUAUUAAUGACAAUAAAUAUGGAAGUUUUUGUUCAAUGAAAAAUUGAAACAUAAAAAAUAGGAAAAUAUGAUAUAGAAUUGUACCUUAAAUGGCUCUUCCAAUGUUAGACGACUUCUAGGCAAAUUUAAAACAAUGAUGUUCUCUGGAUUAAAUUUUGGUGGGAAAGACUUUGAAGGACACUCUUCCCAGUCAAGAAGUCUUAAAUAAUUUGGUAAAUGUUCAAGUUCAGAUGAAAAUGAUGUGUUUCGAACAAUGAGAAUUCUGAGACAUUCCAUCUUCACCAACGCAGUACCACUCCAUUCUACUUCUUCUCGUUGAGGGGGAUCAAGCAUAAUCCCUUGAAUCUUAUCGCUUCCCUUUAACACAAGUACAAAGAAGCAACAUCAACUGCCUAUUAUCAGUAAUAUAAAUAAAAAACAAAAUAGAAUAAAAGAGUAGAGGAUUACAUAAUCUUUGGUUAGUAUUUCAAUAGCAUCUUCAUAAUACCAUAUUCUGCUACGUUUAGCAGGAUUUAUUGAUUCCUUCUUAACAAUCUCUCUACCCAUAUCUUGUAUUAGAUCAUGCAUCUUCAGACAGUCAUACUCGAUAGUUAUGAGAGAUUUAUUAAGAAGUACUUUCAUGUUGGUUGUUGGACAAAAUUCUAGAAGUAUCUUUUUCACAUAUUCCAUUCUCUCCCCUUUAAAGAAGCAAGCUAUGUCCAAGAAAAUUUGUUUGGCAUUAUCAUCCAAUCUAUCGUAGCUUAUUUUAAGCACAUCUUGAAUCUCUGUAUUUGGAGUCUUCUCAUAUUCUUUCAUUGCCAUUUCCCAAUCUCCUAAACUUUCAUGAAAAGCAGCUAAAUCAGAGCCUAUGACUUUUAAAGCCAGUGGAAGACCUUUGGCGUAAUCUACAGCACGCACAGACACAUCUUCAAAACCUGUUUUAGGAUAACUUUGUUUGAAGGCAUUCCAACAAAAUAGCUCUAAAGAAUGUUGGUCAUCAAGUUCCUUCAUUUCAUACUUAAGUUUAACUUGGUGAGCAAUUAGCACAUUUUCUUCCCUUGUCGUUAUAAUGAUCCUACUACCUGGACCAAACCAAUUGCACUCUCCUGCCAACUUUUCUAACUGGUCUUUAUCACCAACGUCAUCAAGAACCAAAAGAACUUUCUUUUUCUGAAGCUUUUCUUUUAUUUCACCCAUUCCUUUAAUUGUACUUCCCAAUUUAGUUUCCAACUCCUCAAACAUAUCAGAUAAAAGUGUCUUUUGUAGAUCUUCCAUGCCAUUGAUUCUGUUUGAUUUUUCUCUAACAUCGGAAAGAAAACUUGCAGCAUCAAAGUUUUGCACAAUUUUGUUAUACAAAGCUUUGGCAAGUUCCGUUUUUCCAAUUCCACCAAGUCCAUAUAUGCCCAACAUUCUUACAGUUUUAUCUUCAGCCUUCUUGUCCAAAAGUGACUUAACUUCUUCUAUGCAAGCCUCAAGUCCAACAGGGUUUUGACCACUAUAUAAAGGUUUAGGAGUUAUAUAUUCAUGGACCUUUCCAACAAUUUCUUCAAUACGAUAGCUUUCAUCAUCCCUAUAAGAGUAGAAUGUAUUAAUUAUUUGUUUGAUAUCAUGAUUUUUAAUUUAUUGUACUAAAUGAUAAGCAUUGUGAUUAUUGUACUAGAUAGUAAGCAUUGAUAUUAAGAACCAGUAGCACAAAAGAAUAAUGAUCACACAUCAUACAAAAUUUACUGGAGAUGAAAAAGUUAGAACAAUUUUAUUCUAAGAAAAAUACCUAAAUAUAAUAUCAAAUUAAAAUAAAAAUGGAUUUUGUUUUCCACUUUGAAAUUUUUAUUAGUUUUUUAUCUUUUAAAUUAUUUUUUAUAAUGUUCAAAAUUAUUAUUUAUGACUAACAAAAUCAAUUAACACCCUGGAAAAAUCUAAAAUUUAAAUGCAUAGUCGACCAUUUAACAUUUUUUAUAAAUUAUUAUAAUUAAGAUGUAGAAUGUUAUAUAUAACAAACUACAUAUGAUAAAAACAAUAUUACAUAUCCCAUUAUAAUUAAGAUGUAUAAUAUUAUACAUAACAAACUACACGUGAUAAAAACAAUAUUACAUACCAUAAAGUAUAUUACUUGAAAAAAAAUAUUUUUUUGAAAAGUAAAGUCCUACAUAACACCAACUUACUUUUGGUGUUUAACCUUUUAUAAAAGGCUAUAGUUAUUUUUUAACUAAAAUAAUUUAUUUUUGGAUGAGAGAAAAAAUGUUUUCUUUUAAAGUUUUCUUACCAAUUGUAUUUUUUUAAUAUAUAAGAGAAUAACGUGGUAGUUAUUGAGAAAAUAUUGUUAGAAUGUAAGGUGUUGAAUAAACGUAAUUGAUGGUGGAAGUAAGAAACAAGCAAUGGACAAAAAGACAAUCUAGAAUCUCUAAGCUAGGUGUGAAAGAACCCACUAAAUGGAAGUGUAGAGGCUAGGUGAUAGAAGGUUGGAUGUAGUAGUAGUAAGGAGUUCAUGGAAGAAUAGUGGUGUUGGUGGAUGUGGUAUACUCACUACGAAAACAACAUAUUAUCGACGGUCAAAAUCCAUAAAUAAUAAAUAAGACCAAAAAUUUGUCGAUACCUAUGAAAGAGCAACAAGCCAAAUUUCACCAAUAAUAUGCUUGUCGGUGAGUUUACCAAGAGAAAAAAUUAUUUAAGUAAUUAUUAAUAUUAUCAAUUAUUAUUUUUAAAAUACUAUUUAUCAUUAACAAAUUAUAUUAUUAUUUUCAAUUAUUAGAACACAUUACCAUUCUGAUUUUUAUUAUUCUUAUUAUUAAUAAUAAUAUAAAUAAUAAUAAUAUAUUAAAAAAUAUUAAUACUGAUAACACUAUUAUUAAUAUCAAUACAAAUAAUAUUAUUAUUAAUAUCAAUACAAAUAAUAAUAUUAUUAAUACUAAUACUAAUAAUAUUAACAAUAAUAAUAUUAUUAUUAUCAUUAAUAUUAUUAUAAUUAAUUAAUAAUAAUAUUAUUAUUAUUAAUUUUAUUAAUAUUAACAUUAGUAUUAUUAGAACUAAUAUUAUUAUUCAUCUUAUUAAUAUUAUAAUUAUUAAUAUAAUAUUAAUAAUAAUAUUAUUUUAAUUAUUAUUAUUAUUAAUAUAUUUAAUUUCUGUAGUCAUUAUUAAUUUUAUUAAUAUUAAUAUUAUUAGUAUUAUAUUUAUUAAUAUAAAUCUAAUAAGAAUAAUAAUAAUAGUAUUGGUAAUAAUUACAAUAAUCAUAAUAAUUAAUAUUAUAAUAUUAUUAAUAAAAUUAAUAAUAAUUACUAACUAUGCGUUCAAAUCCUAGUUUCAAGAUAAUAAUAUUGUAAUACUUUUUUCAUGUAAUAAUACAUAAUUAUUAUGUCAAAUUGCAAUGCCUAACAUAAAAUUUUCUAUAAUUUUUUUUAAUAAUAAUACUAAGUUAAUAUUAAUAAAAUUAAUAAUAAUUAUAAUAAUAUUAAUGAUGAUAAUAAUAACAUGGAUAAUAACAAGAAUAUUAAUAUUAAUAAUUAUAAUAUUAGUAAUAUGAAUAAUAAUUAUAAUAAUAUUAUUAAUAUUAAUAGUACUAAUAUUAUUAAUAAAAUUAACAAUAAUUACAGUAAUAUUGAUAUUAUUAGUAAUAAUAAAUACAGUAUUAUUAUUAUUAUUAUCAUUAAGAAUAAUAAUAACCAUAAUAAAACAAAAAAAUGAUUUUGAUUUAGUGGUUAUCAGCUGAGUGAAUCUGGACUAAACUGUGUCUUGUAGCAAAACAAAUUUUUUAUCAAACACAAAUAUGCCGGUAAAUGCGUCAAUAAUGUCAUAUGUCGGUAUAAUUUGUUGGUAAUAAAAAAUAUUGCCAAACAUAAAUUCAUCGGUAAUUCAAUAUUUUUUUUAAUAGGUGAUUUUAAGAAACAAGUUAAAAAGACGGAACUAGGAUUUAUAAUUUUAAAACAAAGAGGUAUGAAAUCAAAACAAGUAAAUCACUGUAACUCAUAUAGGUGAUUUGGAUAAAAUGGGAUUACUAAGUAAUCUAAAUGAGAAAGGAAUGAUGAAAGGGAAGAGGUUAUUUAGUGAACUUAUACGCGCUGGUAACAUAUAAGUCCUUGGAAAAAUAAAAGUCUCGAUCAAAAUGGAUUUAAUUUGGAGACUCAAACUCUAGGUAUUUUCAUGUUGUUACGGAUUGAAAAAUAAAUAGGAAUGAGAUUAAAAAGGUGUUGAAAACCUAGGGUAGUGGAGUGCAAACCCUAUCAUUGUUAAAAGCAAGGUAAAAGAGUUAUUCUAUGAGAGGCUAAUGUAGAUUACUAAAUUCAAUGUUAGGUUAAGGAAAAUUCUCUUCUAUUUCUAUUGGUGAUAAUAUAGUCUUUAACAUGUGGGUUUACGAAACUAGAAAUUAAGAAAACACUAGGCAAUGUAAGACUGAUUAAAGUCUGUGAGAUAACUAUAAAUUUGGCUUUACAAAGAAAUUAUGGGAGGUUGUAAAAGUGGAAAUCAUACAAUCUACCCACUCUUUUCAAAUUAGUGGGAAUAUUAUAAGGGAUGCAAAGUCUCUUUCAUAACACUUACACUCACUUAUACCUAAGGUAGACAAUUCAGGUAGUUUACAUGAAUUCAAAAUUGGUCUCCUUAGUUAGGUGUAGGUAAAUUGAACUUCCAAUAAUUCUACUUGUCGGAAAUGAAUGAUAAGGGAAAUAGGAUGUAAAUGUGUAUGUGGGUAGAGAUUAUUUUGAAUAUAUAGAAUCAUAGGAAUAAAAUUAUUUUUAAGAAUGACAUCGUAUAUGCAAAAGAGAUAUUUCUUUUGGCACAGACAAAAGUAUGAGCUUGGACAAGGAAUAAAUCUCUUAAUCAACUUUUACAUAUUCUUAUUGGUGUAUAUAUGCCCAACAACUUGCAUAAAAACCUAUCUAAAUAAUAUGGUAUACUCACUCAAAUGAAUAUAUACGAUUGCUAAUUGUAAGUUAUUUUCAGUUUGAGUCUUAUGAAUGAAGCAAUAAAGAUUGAGAUUUCUUGAGUACCAUACACAUCAACGAAUUAAAACCUUAUGUAUGCCAUAUGUAAAAAAAACUAGACAUUAAAGAAGGAGUGACAAUGAUUAGUAUAGGUUUAUGGUAAAUUCUUGUGGAGGGUAGUGAAGUGUUAUUAAGAAAAUCCUUAGAUACUUUAAAGCAACAUUAUACAUUGUAUUAUGAAGGAUGAGAAUUAUAUUUCAGAGAGUUAUAUUAUAUAUGAUUAAUUAUCCCAUAAAAUACAUGAUUUUUUCUAAAUAUGGGAUGAAAAAGAAAUAAGAUUGAAUGGUUUGUUAUACAUACCCGGUGGCAAUAUGCUUCCCUGGGAAGUCAACUGCUUGAGACAAGGCUGACCUCCAAUCCUGAAUUCUCUGUGAUUCAUGUGCCUUCAUGUGUUUUCCGAAGCUAUUUCUUUCGUGCCGUAUAUCUGAGGGAUCUACAUGGUAAAACACUGGGUAAACAAGCUGCUUCUUCUCCUUCAUCUUGCUGCGUUCUAUGAUCUUAACAAGUUCAUCCAGACACCGUGUGGAAGAUGCAUAGUUCUCAGAAAACACAACGAUGAAAAUCUUAGAUUCUUCAAUGGCCUUCGACAGAUCAGGUGGAAGACUUUCCCCUGUCCUCAUAUUCUUAUCAUCAUUGAAACUUUUUAUUCCCUUCCCAUCUAACUCUCUACGCAGAUGCCCUAUAAAAUUGUUCCUUGUAUCUUCUCCUCUAAAACUGAUGAACACAUCAUAGGUGAAACCAAGACGCUCUUCUUCCUCACCAUGUUCUCCCAUGCUACAAACACACCAAAACUACACUAUGGAUUCUCAACUACUUUCAUCAAUUUAGUGUGUUCUGAUUAAAUACACUUUCUUACGCGGAUACACGCUUUCCUGUCUCACUGAAUUAAGCUUCUAAAUUAUAGGGGUUGACCAAGAAUAAGACGAUGGGGAUAUAAUUAUUACAACUACCAAACAUAAUGGCUCGAUCUUGAAAAUAAAGAUGAUGGGAACAGAAAUAAUUCACGUGGUGCAUAUUUAAUGUGGUUUAAAUUGUACAGAAUUGGAUUUCUGUGUAUAAAAAUAUAGCGUUCAGAUUCAUGUGUAUUCAAUUUAAUUUAUAGUAUUGUUUUUCUAUACAUUGAAAGUUAGGUAAAGGAUAAAAUAUUCUAGAACGAAUUUAUUAAGUUUAAAAAAAACAAUUUAUUUAUUUAUGUUUAUUAUAUAUCUUUAGGCAUUGUUUAGACUAAUUUUAAUAUGUUUAGUUUUUUUUUUAUUUAUUCAUAUAUAUGCUGAUGUUUAUUUGUUACACAUUAAUAGUUGUUUUGUAAUUUAUUUAGUUAUUUUUUAUUUAUAUAUAUAUAUAUAUAUAUUUUAUAUAUAAAAUAGUGUAAAAAAACUCAUCAAAUAAAUCAACAAAUCUUGGAGUGGGAUAGAAAACUUUUUCUAUGUUAAAUGACUUCGAAGAAGGCGAUAUGAUAGUUUUUGAAACAGAGGUUAAAAUACCAAACAAUGAAAUUCGAGUUAUUCACCUUUUAGGAUGAGUUUUUUUUUUUAUAUAUAACUUUUUAUUCUCACUUAAUUUUCUCAAAAUUUGUGUUAGUUUGUUGAUACUUAAACAAUUUAUAUAUUUAAGUGUAUUGUUUAUGUUUAUGCAUUGUUUAUAUUAAUUUUAUUAUGUUUAGUUAUUUAUUUAUUCGUAUAUGCUCAUGCUUAUUUCUUAUAUAUUAAUAUUUGCUUUCUAAUUUUUUUUUUAAUUUUCUUAUUUACAUUUACAUAUAUAUAUAUAUAUAAUUAUGUAAAUUAUUUUUUUUAAUACAAAAUAAUGAAAGAAUACGCGUCAAAUGAAUCAACAAAACUUGGAGCGGGAUGAAAGAAUUUUCUGUAAGUUAAAUGACUCAAAGAAGACGAUAAGAUUGUUUUUGAAGCAGAUAUUAACCUACCAAAUAAUGAAAUUUGAGUUAUUAGUCUUUUAGGAUGAAUUUUUUUUUUACAUAAUUGUUUAUUUUUACUAACUUUCCUCAAAAUUUGUCUCAAUUUUUUGGUACUUGAACAACUUAUUUAUUUACGUGUAUUGUUUAUGUUUAUGUAUUGUUUAUAUUAAUUUUAUUAUGUUUAGUUGUUUAUUUAUUUGUAUAUGCUUAUGUUUAUUUCUGACAUAUUAAUAUUUUCUUUCUAAUUUUUUUGCAUUUUCUUAAUUACAUUUAUAUAUAUAAUUAUAUAAAUUAUAUUUUUAUAUAGAAUAGUGAAAAAAACGCGUCAAAUUAAUCAACAAAAUUUGGAGUGGGAUUGAAGAAUUUGGAUAAGAUUAAAGGAUUUCAAAGAAUAAAAUAAGAUUGUUUAACCUACCAAAUAAUGAAAUUUGAGUUAUUAGUAUUUUAGGAUGAUUUUUAUUUUUUACAUUAUUGUUUAUUGUUACUGAAUUUCCUCAAAAUUCGUGUAAGUUUGUUGAUACUUAAAAAAAUUAUUUAUUUCUGUGUAUGGUUUAUGUUUAUGUAUUGUUUAUAUUAAUUUUAUUAUGUUUAGUUGUUUAUUUAUCUGUAUAUGCUCAUGUUUAUUUCUUAUAUAUUAAUAUUUGCUUUCUAAUUAUUAUUUUUAUUUUCUUAUUUACAUUUAUAUAUAUAAUUAUAUAAAUUAUAUUUUUAUACAGAAUAGUGAAAGAAAAUACAUCAAAUAAAUCAACAAAAUGAAAAAAUUUAUGUAAAUUAAACGACUUCAAAAAAGACGAUAAGAUUGCUUUUGGAGUAGAAGUACCUACCAAAUAAUGAAAUUCGAGUUAUUAGCCUUUUAGAAACACUACAAAAGAUAUUUAUUCAUUACACACUGAUUAUUACAUACGGAUUUAGAUCCGUAUAUAAUUAUGGAUUUAUAUACGGAUAUUACAUACGGAUAAAAAUCAGUCACUAAAUUGUUUAUACAUACUGAUUUUUCUGUAUGUAAAAGUAAAUAAAUUUUAUAAAAUAUAUCCGUAUAAAAAAUAUGUAUGUAACAAAGAACAUCUGUUGCAUACAGAUAUUUUAAAUUUAUUUAUUAAAAAAAUAAGUUUUAGAAGUUUUGUCAUUUUUUCACUAAAACCCCAACGUUUGCCCCCAAAACCCGUGUGCCCUAAUUCUAUCUUCAGAAGUGGAGUGUGUGAAGCUCAAUCUUGAAGCAAAGGUGAAGCUCCGUCCGACCUUCUGAAAAAUACAAAGGUGAGUUUGUUCUUUAUCCUAAUAUCUGUUUGCAUGAUGUAUUUUGUGCCAACGAAUGGUAUGAAAAAGGAAGGCAAUGGUGGACACAUGAAUGACACUGUUUGGAAACCAUGAGUGCUGGCCUCCUUAUCUCUUUCCUUUUCGCAACCUUACUCACUCUCUCAUCCCCUUUUCUAUGUCACUGCCUCUCCUUAUAUUGAUGAAGAGUGAGAAGAAAAAAAAGAGUAGGUGAAGGUAGGUGGUGGGAAGUUGGGAGAGAAAUGAGGGAGUAGUGGAGAUUUUGGAAAGAGUGGGAGCAGGUGUAAGAGAGGCAGCAGGUGCAGAGUAAGUGGCGUGGAGAGUGUGGGUCAAAUGUUAGUAAUAUUUGACUGUCCCCAAACCCACAUUAUGGGAGCUUCAUGUACCAAACCACCCACACUUUGGAACUUUUGCUCCGUAAGACCAUAAAGGACCAUCUAAGUGGAGAAAAACUUGAUCUCCUUUUAGUGGGAUUCUUUACUUACAAUUGAUUAAUUCUACAUUGAACUCAUCAUCAACACUUAGAUUUUUACUUUUUCAAUUACUUGUUCCUAUAAUAUUAUUAAUUCUAAUCUAUGACAUUGCUUUCACAGAAUAGAGUUUCAUCUAAUUUCUUUGAAGGUUGUGUUUGUCCUAUCCCAUGUUUAUGCCUAUAAUAUUGCAUGUAUUGUUACUUACUUUUUACACAUAUAGACUUUGAGGAGCCAUGUUAAAUUUUCCAUUCUGUUAAAAUACCCGUGUUUUUUUGUUGCUCAUUUGCUUUUAUCAAACAAAACCAAUCCUUGGUCAUUCAUUAUAUGGAGGACAUAUAAGUUUUUGUUUUUUGUCUUUGGUCUUGAUAGAUGCUUUGUUUGAUUGUUAAUUUAUGCUAAGGAAAAUGAGAAAACAAUGGACAUUGAAUAGUAAUUGGAGGAGUUGGUGUUAAUGCAUGAUGCAGCUUUUGCAGAGAAUCUAAGGUCCAUCUGUGUGGGUGGAUAAGUGGGAAUUAGCACGCAGAGAACCUAACUAGUGUUCAUGGACAUCACUUUUAAACAAAGCACCCACAUGCCUCUUCUGUGAGACUACCACGUUUCCAUAUUGCAAGUCAUGUCCUUAUUUGGAAAGCUAAUCCAAAUACGUGUAAUCUCCUCGAAUAUGAAAGGGCAUAGACCAUAUUCUCUUUAAGCUAAAUACCUUUUUCCUUCCACAAGGGCCUAGGGCAGUUUCUUUGAAGCACCUUUUAGAGAUAACUCUAUUUAAUAUAUACAACAUCAUUGGUAGAAGAAGUACUUAUAAUUAGUGAAUCUAUAACUGCAAAAAGAUAAUAAUGUGGAUUAAACCCCUUGGAUUACCUAAUCUUGCCACUAUAUGUGGAUGAAGCACUCAUUCACUUUUCUAAGAGUAAAUUUAAUUCAAUGGAAAAUAGAACAAUUAUCACAAAACACAUAUUAUCACAAACACACAUGAAAUUACUUAUUAUCAUUAUACUACAUAAAGUUCAAAAUAACUUCAAUUCUAAACUACUCACCAAGAUUUUUACAAAAACGAAUGUGUUACAAACACAAUACACACUACAAGAAAACAGCCAAAUAGCUUCCAAAUUUCUGUGUGGGCCAUUUUCGGACGCUACUAUCGUCGGCCAAAAUGAGGAGAAACCCACGCAAAAAUGGCAAUGGAUGCAAAACGGACGCACUUAUGGAUUUAAUGUUUUUUUUUAAAACAAUCUAGUUUGCGUCGGCCCAGGCCCACGCAUAUGCGUCAGCAUGCGUCCCACGCAUAUGCGUCGGCCACGGCCCACGCAUAUGCGUCCGUCACAACCCACGCAAAGCCCACGCAUGUUUAUAUUUUAGGAUUUUAAAAUUAUUUAAUGUAUAACAAAUAUUUUAAUAUUUAAUUCUUUAUUUUAUUUAUUUUAAAAUUAUUUCUUUAAUAUUAUAAUAAAUUAUUUAAUUUAUCAAAUUUUAAUAUAAAUUAGUUAAAUUAAAAUUAUUAAAUUAAUUAAGCGUUUGAUUUAAAAUUAAUUUAGUAAAAGAAAAGAUCUAUUUAAAUUAUUUAAAUGUUAUAUAAAAUAUUUUAUUAUUUUAAAAAUUAUUUAUUUUAAACUUAUUUUAUUUAUAUAUUGUCAUAAAUAUAUAUUUUUUAAAUUAUGAUAUAAAUUAGUUAAAUUAAAUUUAUUAAAUUGAGGAAGUGUUUAAUUUUGAAAUUAUUUAAAUGAAGUUAUCUUAAAAAGUUUAUAAAGAUUUGAAAACAUGUAGAAAAAUAAUAAUUAAUUAAAAAAUAGUAAAAGAAAAGUAAAAAAAAAUGCGUAUUUAAAUUUUGUAAAUAUUAUAUAAAAUAUACAUAAAUUUAAGAAUAUAAAUUCAAGAUGAAGUAAUUAAUUAGUGCAAAUGGUAAUGGAUGUAUUUAAAAAUAGAGAAUAAAUUUUAUCUAAAAAUGUUUUAUUUGGUUUAAGAAAAAAAAGUUGGAUAAAACUUUUAAUUAGUAAUAUAACUUAAAUAAAUUUAAAUGUUAUAUGUGUGCAAUGGCUAAAUGAACUAGGAUUUUUUGUUUUGAUAUCCAUUAUAAUUUUAAAGAUGUUAUUUCUCAUAAAUGAAGCAUAAAAUCAUCUUAAAGAAUUAGCGAAAAUGUAUAUGAUACAAACAUAUUAAGACUAAGUGCGUGAGUAAGUAACUUAUUCUUAAUUCUUAAAUUAAUACAAUAUCCAAAGUGUUUCAAAGUUGACUAUAUGCUCUAUAAAUGUCAUUGUUAUAGUUACUAAGUAUGAUCUCUAAAAGAAAUUAAUGUUUUCCAACUGAAGCACAAAAUAAUGUAGUAAGUUGUAAGUAACGAGAUGACACAUAUGCAAUAUUCUUUAUAAGUGUGUUAAUAUAGUUUCCCAAUGUUCGCCUGAUAGCGAGAGUCGAGGGAGAAGCACGAAGACGAGAAGUACCCCAGUCAAGCACCCAACAACCUGCCCGACUGAGGGAAGAAGACGAAAACUUCAAUAGUUCUCUAGGUCCCAUCUCCCCAGCAGAAACAAAUUAAUAACCCUAGUCCAUUGUCAAGGUAAGAGUUAAACUAAGAAGUGCAUUAUAAAGGCUGAAAGAGAGUAUCAUAAGCAAUUUGAGAAAUAUGAGUCAUUUCGUGAUAGUUAUAGAAUUAACUUAGAAUCAUGGAAUAUAGUUGAUUAUUAGAUUUUGGAUUAUAAGUUAGAAAGGAUUAUAAGUUAGAUUUAACCACUAAACCAAGCAAAUUCUUUAGUAUUAUUAUAAUUUUAAUUAUACUUAUUAUUAUUAACAAUAUUAAUAAUAUUAACAAUAUUAUUAAUAUUAACAAUAUUAAUAAUAUUAAUUUUAAUAAUAUGAAUAUUAUUAAUAUUAAUACUAAUAAUAUUAAUAAUAUGUAUAAUAAUAUUAAUAAUAUUUAUAAUUAUAUUAAUAAUAUUUAUAAUUAUAUUAAUAAUAUUUAUAAUUAUAUUAAUAAUAUUUAUAAUUAUAUUAAUAAUAUUUAUAAUUAUAUUAAUAAUAUUUAUAAUUAUAUUAAUAAUAAUAUGACCAAAGAAUUUGUCUGGUCUAGUGGUUAAUGCUUCCCUAGUUACUGGAAGGACUUGAGUUUCGUGGCGUCAGAACCCAGAUUCUGCAUGUUGUGUCCGUUUUUUGCUUCCACGCUAAGUAUAUUUUUUUUUAUCUUUCUUUAGGUUGAUUGACUUGGUUCAUAAGAAUUAACAACAGAUCGAUUCUCAAAAUUGAAGGUGAAUGGAAUUUAAUCUUCAUUUUGGCAUAUUUUUAGUAUUAUAGUAAUUUGUAGCUAACUUGUUCACCCUGUUAUUAACAUGGACACUUCAAAUUUGUCUGUUGCAUUGAUUUAUAAUACUAGAACUUUGCUAGUUUGUAUAAUUGUAAAUGGUAUGAAAAGAAAACAUGAUAGGUACUGAAUCGUGAGACUACAUAAUACUGGUGUGAGACUGUAAAAUACUGUGUAUUUAUACUGUUGUAAUUUUGACUGGUGUAUACUGCUGUGUAUUGAAGUUUCUUGACUCUUUUGAGAAUAUAAAAAAGGCUCUCAAAGUUUAUUGUGGAGUUUUGCAUCUGAUCCAUGAUAACAAUUGCUCCCUCUAUCGAAUCCCUUUAUUUUCAUGAAAAAAAAAAUAAAAUAAAAAAAAUGAAAGUCUGUAAAUUUUGCAUUAGGUUUUCAACCUAUGCUAUAUAUGGACCUCUUUAUUGCAUUAUGGUGUGUGUAUGUUUAACUAAAUAAAAGAAUAAAAUAAAUCUUUACAAGGAACUGCAUAUUAAAUGUUGUUGGCAUGAACUUCUUUAGGUUUUUUGCUUUAAAGAAACUACAAUAAUAAAGCCAAGUAUAAUUUUUUUUAAUCUUCCUAGGUUGAUUGACUUGGUUCAUCAGUUGUUGGAUGAUCAGUUCUUCAUUUUGACAUAUUUUUAGUAUAGUAGUUAAUUUGUUUACCACCCCGGUUGUUAAUAUGGUCACUUUUAAUUUUAUCUGUAAUACAUUAUUUCUUUACUAGUUUGUAUAAUUGUAAAUAGUAUAAUUAAAGUUUUGCAUUAUGGUGUGUAAGGUUAUCUAAAUAAAGGAAUAAAAUAAAUUUAAAAUCUGACCACAGUUACAUACGGAUAUAUCUGUAUGUAAAUCUGAACACAGUUACAUAUAUUUGUAUGUAAAUCUGAACACAGUUACAUACAAAUAUAUCUGUAUGUAAGUCUGAUCACAGUUACAUACGGAUUUAUCCGUAUAUAACAAUUACCUACGAUAAUUUUAUAUACGAAUUUUUGUCCGUAUGUAACUAUGUUUUAUAUACAAAUUUAUUGAGUUACAUACGGAUUUGAGUUGUAUGUAAUACCAACUUUUCUUGUAGUGGAAGAAUCUCUUCUUUUACACAGUUGUUUAUUGUUACUGACUUUCCUUAAAAUUUAAGACAGUUUGUUGAUACUUGAACAAUUUAUUUAUUUACAGGUAUUGUUUAUGUUUAUGCGUUGUUUAUAUUAAUUUUAUUAUGUUUAGUUGUCUAUUUAAUCAAAUAUGCUCAUCUUUAUAUCUUAUAUAUUAAUAUUUGUUUUCUAAUUUUUUUAUUUUCUUAUUUACAUUUACAUUUAUAUAUAUAUAUAUAAUUAUAUAAAUUAUAUUUUUAUACAGAAAAGUGAAAGAAAACAAGCCAAAUAAAUUAACAAAACUUGGAAUGGAAUUGAAGAUUUUUUGUAUGUUAGAUUACUUCAAAGAAGACGAUAUGAUUGUUUUUGAAGCAGAGACUAACAUACCAAAUAAUGAAAUUCGAGUUAUUUUGCUUUAGGAUGAGCCAUUUUUUUACACAAUUGUUUAUUGUUACUUACUUUUCUCAAAAUUUGUGUCAGAUUGUUGAUACUUGAACAAUUUAUUUAUUUAUGUAUAUUAUUUGUGUUUAUGCAUUGUUUAUAUUAACUUUAGUAUGUUUAGUUUUUUUAUUUAUUGGCAUUUGCUGAUGUUUAUUUCUUAUAUAUUAAUAUUUGUUGUAUAAUUUUUUUUUCUCAUUUACAUUUACAUUUAUAUAUAUAAUUAUAUAAAUUGUAUUUUUAUACAAAAUAGUAAAUCAAAACGUGUCAAAUUAAUCAACAAAACAUGAUGCGCGAUGAAAGAAUUUGUGUAGGUUAAAUGAUUUCAAAGAAGACAAUAAGAUUAUUUUUGAAACAAAGGUUAACAUACUUAUAAUGAAAUUCGAGUUAUUCGACUUUUAGGAUGAGUCCUUUUUUACACAUAUGUUUAUUAUUACUUACUUUCCUAAAAAUUUGUGAGUUUGUUGAUACUUGAAGAAGUUAUCUAUUUACCUAUAUUAUUUAUCUUAAUGCAUUGUUUAUAUUAAUUUUAAUAUGUUUAUUUUUAUAUGCUAAUGUUUAUUUCUUAUAUAUUAAUAUUUGAUUUUUAAUUUUUUAUUUAGUUUCUUAUUUACAUUUAAAUUUAUAUAUAUAUAUAUAUAUUUAAUUAUAUAAAUUAUAUUUUUAUUCUAAACAAUGAAGAAAACGCACCAAAAAAAUCAACAAAACUUAGAAUGGGAUGUAAGAAUUUAUGUAUGUUAAAUGACUUUAAAGAAGACAAUAUAAUUAUUUUUUAAGCAAAUGUUAACAUACCAAAUAAUAAAAUUUGAUUUAUUCGUCUUUUAGGAUACAUCAUUUUUUACACAACUCUUUACUAUUACUUACUUUUCUCAAAAUUUGUGUCAGAUUAAUACUUGAAUAAUUUUAGUUACGUGCAUGAUUAUUUUUAAUGUAUUAUUUAUAUUAAUUUUUAUGAUAUUUAGUUUAUUUAUUUAUUAGAAUAUGUUUAUGUUGGUUUCUUAUAUAUUAAUAUUUGGUUUUUAAUUUUUUUAUUUUGCGUCUCUUUAUGUGUUUUAAAUUAUUAAUUAUUGUAAAAUUUAUUUUACUUUAUUUUUUAAUAUAUUGAUCUUAUCUAUUAUUAGUUUAUUAGUUUAUGUAAUUGUUAAUUAAUGUAAUUUUGACUUAUAAAUUAUGAUAGAACUCAUAUUAAGUUUCAGAAUGUCAAAAUUAAUAUUUUACGUUUUAGAAAAUCAAAUUUAAUUUAAUGUAAUAUAUGAAUUAAUUUUUCUAAAUUUAUUUAAUAUUAUAAUAUUAUUAUUUAAAUAUGAAAGUUUAGAAAAAAUAACCGUUUGUUGCACGGUCAAAGUUCUAGUAGAAAUACAAAUAGAGGGGCACGUGACGUCUCCUUUUGAUUACAGCUAAAUCCAGAAAUCUUUGAAGGGUCCCGGAAAAUGAUUCUUUCAUACUUCACCAGAUUCUUAACUGCUUUUCUAACGCACUCCAUAUGCCAUAAAGUGACACAAUAAUGUAAUCACCUUCCUUAUUAUCAUUUCAUUUAAUACAGUUUCUUACGCUGAUACAAGAUGGGGAUAUAGUUAUUACAACUACCAAACAUGAUGGCCCGAUCUAGAAAAUAAAGAUGAUGGGAACAUAAAUAUUUCACGUGGUGCAUAUUUAAUGUGGUUUAUAUUGUACGGAUUUGGAUUACUCUGCAUAAAAAUAUAGCAUUCUUAUUCAUGUGUAUUGAAUUCGAUUACAGUCUCUAAAAUUUUAAAAUCACCGACUCUCAAUUAAAUAACUAAGUUUAUUUUAUCUAUUAUAUUUAAGAUAACAGCUUUGACAUUUUUAAAUCUAAAACAUUUAAUUAACUCAAGAAUAUGUAAAUUUUUAAUUAGUAUAUUUUUUUAUGUAUUUUUUUAUAUAUAUUAAAAUCUAUACUAUAUUACUAGAACUAACUGAAAUGAAAUGGCGAAGAGACUCAACAGUAAAAAAAACUUGAAGAUGGUAAAUUGUUCAACUUAAAGCCAAAUUUUCCGAAAUGGCUGAAAAUAGAGACGAUACCCUUGGUAAUUUUUUACCAUGAUGGAGUUAUUUUUUCUUUUUUUACUAAAAUGGGGUCCGUUUUAAAAAAAUUACAAAUUUAGGCAAGUCGUGCCAAUUUGGUACGACUUCAUAUGCAGAAGUCGUCCCAAUUAGGUACGACUUUUGUCAUGUCAUACUAAAGUCGUGCCACUUGGCACGACUUCUGCCCUGUCAUACUAAAGUUGUGUCAACUUGGUACGACUUCUGCCUUGUCAUACUGAAGUCGUGCCCUAUCACUUCAUUCUCCACACCAUCAAAUUCCUUACACGUAUAACUUUUUACCUUCUCCUUCAGGUACUUUUUCCACUCCACCAAAUAUAUUUGGAACUUUGGCAUUCACCCCUCUUUCUGCAUAUAAUCCAACAUCAUUCAUGCACUAUCGACCCACAAUGCCCUCACCAACAUCUCAUAAUGAAGGCAAUAACAACGAUGAUGAACAUGUCGUUGAUGAUCCUCUUCCACGAAGACCUCGACAACAAAUACGAAGACCACAUUGUGUCACGUCUUCCCAUAAAUAAUUUACUUCUAGUUCAACUUUAUAGUUUUAUUUUAUAUCUUGUAAUGAAUCUUACUAAUUUGUUUAGUUCUAAUUAAUCUCUUCUCAUCAUUACGUGUUCUGUAAAAUCAUUAUUUCUCAAGCUAUUUAUUUUGCAAAUUCACAACAAUAAUUCUCUAUUUAUUUUCCAAAUACAAUAAAUUUUCAUUUAUGUAUUUAUUUCCAAAUUUAAUAACAAUUUUCUUCAUUUUUUAAUUAAUCAAAUAAUCAAGUUAUUGUAUUACAUUACCGUCAAACAUGAUUCAUACACGAUUAUCCCAUUUUUUGUUCCUUAAAACUAACACUCUUAGAAAAUUAUGUAUCAAAUUAAUUUUUAACAUUACAUAACUUACUACCCAAUAUAUAAAUAAUAAAAUUAAAAAAAAUUAUGACGUGGCAGAAGUCGUGCCAAGUUGGCACGACUUCAGUAUAACAUGGUUGAAGUCGUGCCAAGUUGACACGACUUUAGUAUGACAUGGCAGAAGUCGUGCCUAAUUAGGACGACUUCUGCAUAUGAAAUCGUACCGAAUUGACACAAUUUGCCUAAAUUUGUAAUUUUUUUUAAACGGACCCCAUUUUGGUAAAAACAAAAAAAAAAAUAACCCCAUCAUGGUCAAAAAACCUCAAAGGAUAACGUCAAGUUAAAUAUGUAAUAUGUAUGUAUGUCCUAACAUAUCCAACUCUCUUUUUAUUCGACCAUUUUUAUGUUAUGUAAUACAUUUAUUGUAUGUUGUAUCUCACCAAUCCUUCUGAAAAUUCUAUUGUGGUGUAAGAUUCGGUUUUCGUGCCUCUGACAUUGCCAUGCUUACUAAGUUAUCCUUCAUAAUUUGUCACAAUAUUGCUACUUAUCAAAGGAAAAGUUAUUUGAGCAAAAUACUUACUACUACAUGUCCUGUCUUUGAACUACUUUGAAUUUUUCAUAAACAACAACCUAACCAAACACGAUGCUUUAUAUCCUAUGUACUAUUUAUUUUUCUCAUUUUUAAAUAUAUCCCCUCUCUCACAUGCAUGAACUGACAGGUAUGUCAGGUGUAUUUUGAGGAGAACAAUUCAUCAGUAUCUUUGAUUGGAAGUCCGUUUAACAAAUGGGAUGACGCUUCGGAGGAAGAAUCGAAAGCCCAAAUAGAAGAUAGUGUUGGUGAAGGUUUUUCAGACUCCGAUUACUCAGAACAUGGUGGUAGGCAAGAAGAGAGAAGAGGAGAGGAGAUCGUUCAAUUUCCGACGGAAAAGAAGAGUUUCCAAAAGACGACGCAUGUAAUAGUGGGGGAAUUAAUUCUGUUGGGAAGAGCCAAAAUGUCACGUUGGAAAUGAGGAAAGAGAAAAUUUUUGUAUGGAAAACGUGUAAACCUAAUAAUUUUAUUACAAAAUAGAACAUAGAUAAAUAAAAGAGAACAAAAGAUGAACAAAAGAGUAAAAGGAAGGUAAAAAAUAUGAGAAUGAAUAUCUUUCUUUUCUUGUUAUUGAAAUCAAAACAAAUGGUCUGAAUAUAUACAAGUAGUACACUCAUUCUAGGUUUAACUAAAGAUGAAAAGAAUCAAUAAUUAAAUACUAGAAUCAUAACAAACAAAGACAAAAUAAAGGUUAUUCACCUCUAUAAAGAGAAACAACUGAUAAUUAGAAAAGAUACCCAAUUAAUAUUAAGAUUCUUCUAUAACUCUGGUAUCCGUAUCCUUUAAUACCCCGUCACAAGCUGGGGAGCAAAUAUUGAUGAGACCCAGCUUGGAACAAAUAUUCUUAAAAGAUUGAGGACUUAAAGCUUUGGUAUAAAUAUCAGCCAGUUGCUCUGUGGUGGAAAUGAGAAGCAAAUGAAUGAGACCCUUCUUUAAUUUUUCCCGGACCACGUGACAAUCUAUUUCUAUAUGUUUCGUACGCUCGUGAAACACUGGAUUUGCUGCAAUGUAUCUUGCUGAGUCAUUGUCACAGUAUAAAAGAGAUGGUUGCUCAAAAGGAACUUUGAAAUCUUGAAAAAGAUAAGUUAGCCAUUGAAUUUCACAUGUAACAGUGGUCAUUGCCUUGUAUUCAGCUUCACAAGAACUCUUUGAUAUUGUUCCUUGCUUCUUUGAUUUCCAAGAUAUGAGAGAAUUCCCAAGAUACACACUAAAACCAGUCACUGAUUGUCUUGAAUCACUACAGGUGCCCCAAUCACUAUCACAAAAGGCUUUCAGAUGAACAGAGGUAGUGGAAGAGAAAAAUAGACCAAGACUUGGAGCCCUUUGAUAUAUCUGAGAAUUCUAAUCGCUGCAUUAUAGUGAGCAAUUGUAGGCUUAGCAAGAAACUAAAAAGUUGUUGUACAAAAUUUUUUAUGUCAGGUCGGGUAUUAGUGAGAUACAUAAGUUUUCCAAUCAAUCUUCUGUAGGUUUGAAUAUAUGUGAAAGGAACACUUCCAGUAGAAGAGAAUUUCUCAUGAUUAUCAAUAGGAGUGGGUGUAGGUUUGCAGGCUAAAAGACCUGCAUAUGUUAAUAAUUCUAAUGCAUAUUUCCUUUGAUUUACCAUUAUUCCUGUCUUACCUUUUGCUACUUCUAGACCAAGAAAAUAUCUUAAAUUCCCAAGAUCUUUAAUCUUGAAUGUCUGAUUCAUGGCUUGUUUGAUUCGAGCAAUCUCUUCUUUAUCAUUUCCUGUCAAUAUUAUAUCAUCCACAUAUACCAAUAAUGCUGUAAAAGAUCCUUCAGAAUAAUUAAUGAACAAGGAAUGAUCAUUCAUAGAUUGAGUAUAUCCCAUAGAAAGCAAAAAUGAUGACAGUUUGGCAAAACCAUUAUCUACUGACUUGCUUAAGGCCAUGUAAAGCCUUUUUUAGUUUACAAACUUUUCCUGGUGGAAUAAAAGUCAUUCCAAGAGGAGCAACCAUGUAUACAUUUUCUUUUUCAAAUCUCCAUGUAAAAAGACAUUUUUAUGUCUAAUUGUUUCAAUUCCCAAUUAUAAAUAGAAGCUAAAGAAAGAAGCAACCUUAUGGUGGUCAUCUUUGCUACUGGAGAGAAAGUAUCAAGGUAGUCAAUGCCUUCUGUUUGUGUAUAUCCCUUUGCCACUAACCUUGCUUUAUACCUUUCAAUUGUCCCAUCAGCCUUAUAUUUUAUUUUGAAUACUCAUUUGCAACCUAUGGCACCUUUAUUCUUAGGCAGAAGAGCAGUCUCCCAAGUUUGAUUUGACUAUAAAGCAGAUAUCUCACAUUGUAUAACUUUUCUCCAACAUUCAUGUUUCACAGCUUCAUAAUAAGUGUUUGGCUCAACAUGUGAAGAAAGAGACAUAACAAAAGAUUUAUAAGGAGGUGAUAAAUUGCUAUAAGACAAAACAGAAUUAAAAGGAUAUUUAACUCUUGAAGAUGCACUGGAAACAUUAAGAUUACAAUGAUAAUCAAUACUCAGGUGGUCUUUUUAUUCUUGUGCUCAUUCGGAAAGAUGGAUCUGAUUUAGAACUUUGUUCUAUAUCAUGAUUUUCAUUGAGGUUUUGAUCUAUGUGGGAACAAUCUUCUUCUGAAACAUCAAUUUCUGACUCACAAUUAUUAUCACUGCUAUUUUCAACAUUAUCACAAGGUGUAUUAUCACAAGGUGCAAGAAUGGCUUGUGAUGACUGAUAUAAGACAGAUUGAUCUUCAGCAAACAAAAUUUGAUCAUUAAUGUCAGAACUGUUAGUUUCAUUGCUAGUAUCUUGAAUCCUUUGGUAUGGAAAAACAUGUUCAUAAAAGACAACAUCCCUAGACACAAAUUUCUCUUGAUUGAAUAUUCAACAAAAUAUAUCAUUUUGUCCCCCUUUGAAAACCAAUAAAAACACAUUUUGAUGCUCUUGGAUCAAAUUUUCUUCUAUUUGUUGACAAAGUGCUAGCAUAACAUAAAGAACCAAACACCUUUAAUCCAUUAAAAUUUGCAUCAGUUUUGAAAAGCAUUUCAUGAGGAGAAGAAUAGUUUAAAACAGGUGUGGAAAGCAUGUUUAUAAUAUGUGCAACAUGUAUCACAGAAUAUGACCAAUAAAUUUUGGGUAAAUGAGAUUGUAUCAUAAGAGCUCUUGCUACAUCUAAUAAAUGAUCAUGUUUCCUUUCAACUAUACUAUUUUUGUUGUGGAGUAUUGACACAUGAUGUUUGAUGUAUUAUUCCUUUACUGNNNNNNNNNNNNNNNNNNNNNNNNNNNNNNNNNNNNNNNNNNNNNNNNNNNNNNNNNNNNNNNNNNNNNNNNNNNNNNNNNNNNNNNNNNNNNNNNNNNNNNNNNNNNNNNNNNNCAGAUUUUUGUUUCAAAAGAAAAAUCCAUGUGUACCUCGAAUAGUCAUCAACUAUGGUCAAGAAAUAUUUAUGACCAUGAAUUGAUGGUAUUGAGUAUGGUCCCCAAAUAUCUACAUGAAUCAAAUCAAAACAUUUUUUUUUGCGAUUUAGAUGUACUAAUAGGAAAAGAAAGUAUUUUUUGCUUUGCAAAAUGACAAACAUCACAAACAAAAGAUUUGUUAUAUUUAACAUAAGGAAAUUUAUUCUUGAUAACAUUAAUACAUUUAUUUGAAAUAUGACCUAAUCGAAAAUGCCAAAGGGUUUCUAGAUCACUAGCACUAACAUUAACAGUAUUGAUGAUGUGUGUACAUUCAAGGGGUUUAAUUUGAAAUUUCCGGUGAGAUGGGAUCCUGAGUAUAUAAAGUCUAUCUUGCAUCUGAGCAGAACCAAUUAUUUUCAAGGAGUUUUUGUCUUGAAUGUGACAACCAUUAGAAUCAAAGGUAAGAACACAAGAUAGUCUAUCAAUCAGUUUUGUUACUAAAAGAAGAUUAAAAGUGAAGCAAGGAAUAUACAAAACAUUGUUUAUGACAUGAUCUUGAUUGAGAAAAACACUUCCAGAAUAAUUGGCAAUGACUUGGUUUCCAUUUGGUAAUUUGACAUAAAAAGGAUCAAUUUGAUGAUACGAAGUGAAGUAAGUUAAGGAUGAACAAAUGUGAUCAGUAGCACCACUAUCAAUAAUCCAAGAACUAAAAGAAGAAAUAAAGUUAUUACCAGUUUGUGUUGUCAUGAUGGAAGGAAUAACAAAGACUUGACUAGAAACAUUGUCACUGGAUUUGACCUGUUGUAAAAGAGCUAACAAUGUUUGAUACUGCUCAGGAGUAAAACCAAUUUGUUGAGACUCCACUUCUAACUUUGAACCUUCAUGAUUUUGCUCAUUAUUGUUAAAAUUUGUAUUGUGAAAGGCUGCAUGACUCUGAUGAUGGUUUUGAUUUUUAAAUUUGAAAUGAGGUGGAAAACCACGCUUUUUAUAGCAUGUAUCAAUGGUAUGCCCUGUCUUUCCACAAUAAAUGCAAAUUUUGGAAGUAUAUCCUCCUCCAUAGUUUCCUCUUCCAUAUCCACCACCCAUGCCAUAGGUCGUAGCAUUGUUAUUAUAACCUCCUUUGCUACUAGCAAUCAUUGCCUUGGAUUGAUCACCAAAAACUUGCCUCUAUUGUUGUGUAAUGAGAGAGUAAACUCUAUUCAAGGAUGAAUUAUCUUAUGAACUAACAUGGUAAGGUGAACAAAGAUCUUGUGAGGGAUCAACAACUUCACCCAUAGAUAAAUGUAGCAACCAAAGCUCUAAUCAGAGCUCUCUUUUCUUGUUAUUGAAAUCAAAACAAAUGGUUGAAUAUAUACAAGUAGUAUACUCAUUCUAGGUUUAACUAAAGAUGAAAAUAAUCAAUAAUUAAAUACUAGAAUCAGAACACACAAAGACAAAAUAAAGGUUAUUCACCUCUAUAAAGAGAAACAACUGAUAAUUAGAAAAGACAAUUAUUCUCCUCUAUAAAGAGAAACAAUUGAUAAUUAGAAAAGAUACCCAAUUAAUAUUAGGAUCCUUCUAUAACUCUGGUAUCUGUAUCCUUUAAUACAUUUCUUGGCAGAAAUUAAGUGCAAAAAGACUAAUGAUAGAGUAUGAGCAGAUGUCCUAAUUUGUAGUGGGUUGGUUUAGGCCUAACUGAAUGCAUACAGUUGGGUUAGGGAAACCCUAAUUUAUGACACAAUUGCUGACAUGGACUCACAACUAGAAAUUGUUAGACAAGGAGGAGCGACGAACUGGGUGGGAGACGACGCGGUUCCCCCUACGUCGCUGACGGUGGCUUACGACACUGGUUUCGAGGGCCUCGACAUCGACGAAGCCGACGCGGCUUCUCUUGCGCCGCCGGUAGCGGCUAAUGUAAUUGGUAUUGAGGAUCCCAACGCUGGUUAUACCUUGAAGUUGUCGGAGGCAGGCAGUGAGGGGCAACGAUUAUUGAUGGCGGUUGUCGAAGAUGCUAGAACAAUGAAGGAGGCAGGCGAUGGUGCAAUUAGUGACGGCCGUGGCGCGACUGUAGUGGCGAGCAAUGGCGAGAUUGGUGCUAGCAAUGACACGACUUCAGUGGUUGGAGAUGGCGCGACUAUAGUGUUUGGCAAUGGUGUCGGCGCGUCUGUAGGGGCGGAGCAGCGUGCGGCAGCGGCUGACGCUGUUAUGUAUGAUAGUUCCGGCAUGGGGCGCGGCAGUGGAGAGGAGGUGAGCGACGAAUGUGUGGUGGUAGUGGUGGCAAGGGUUACACAUGUUGAGGGAGAAGAAGGUGGGUUUGAUGACGAAAACAAAGGAUCUUUGGGGUGUGAGGCAAUCAGAGAAACAACAAGCGUGAUGGAGAGGAUGGGGUUAGUAUGGAGUAGAGAGGAUGAUGGAGCUGCAAAGACGUCCACUCAUAGGGGCACGAUAAGGGAGACUGAGACUUUUUUUUGCAAGUCACCCAGUGGGGAGGAUGAUGGCUAGUUUUGGCGGAAGGGUGGACGAUUUGCCUAAAUCGAGAGACGAAAGCUCACCGAGGAUUGAAAGGUUAUCUAUGUCAGAUUCACUAAAAUGCUUAAGAUCAGAAAUCAUUAUCUUAGACAAAGAUGCCAGAAAAUACAGUAGAAUGCUUUGGUUAAAAGAUGAGCAGGGCGAAGCUAGGAAGAGAUGGAAAGUUGGUAAGGAGAUGAGUUUCACACUGUUAAGUGAAGAAAAUGUGGUAUUAAAUAGGCUUAGCAGUUUGGAGAAUCGGGAUUGCAGGAAUUUGGAGAUGGAGAUUAAUGUUUUUUAUGAUGAGUCUAAUUAGUUUGAAUAUAAGAGGAGUAAGAGGAAAUAUAAAAAGAACAUACGUAAGAGAAUUAAUUAGAAAAGAGGAGGUUAGAAUGGUUUGUUUACAGGAAACAAAGUCCUUAGUGCUCAGUAAGAACAAUUGCUUUUAUAUGUGAGGUUCAAAUGAAAUUGAUUGGGUGGAGAAUGGUGCAGUAAAUAAUGUUGGUGGAAUCAUUACUAUGUGGAGAAGAAGUAGUUUUAAUAAGACAAGUUUUUUAAAUGGGAAAUGUUACUCUAUCAUCGAAGGAGUUUGGAAAGUAGGAGACGGGAUACACAUUACGAUAGUAAAUGUGUACAGUUCCAGCUCGUUGAAAGAAAGGAAGGAGGUUUGGGAUGAGUUACGAGAAAUCAGGAAGAACCAACAAAACAAGGUAUGGUGUGUUGUCGGGGAUUUUAAUUCAAUCAGAAGAAAAGAUGAGAGAAAAAGCGUAGUCUCAACAUCAGAUUAUAGUAGAGAGAUCAGGGAUUUUAAUGAUUUCAUUGAAAACACGGAGUUAUUGGAUAUUCCAAUGGUCGAAAAAAAGUUUACUUGGUAAAAGCCAAAUGGGACGGUCAAUAGCAGAAUUGACAGAAUUCUUGUCUCACCAGAAAGGUCUUUGAUCAUUGUGCUUUAGUUCUAAAAGUUUUAUCGGUGGAUUGGGGGCCUAAACCUUUCAGGAGUCUGGAUGUGUGGCAAAGGGAUAGUGGGUUCCUGGAUUUUGUUCGCAGUAAAUGGCAGAGCUAUGAGGUGUUUUGUGGAGGGAUGGUUGUUCUAAAAGAAAAAUUGAAAAAUUGAAAGCUAGAUUUGAAGAGGUGGAAUAGGGAGGUUUUCGAGAAUGUCAAUCGGGAAGGGGAAUCUAUACAAAAGAAGAUUCAAGAGUUGGACGCAAGAGACAAUGAAAGUGAGUUAGAUGAGCUGGGGAGGGAGGAGAGGGACUUUUGCUAGUGGAACAAAGUCGAAACCUUUUUACACAAGAAGCGGUCUUGCACCAAAAAGCAAGACUAAAGUGGUUGAAACAAGGCGAUCUAAACACUAAAUUUUUCCACUCCUCAGUGAAGUGGAGGAGAAUGAGAAACGGGAUCAACGGGGUACCUUAUGUGUUCAAUAUACACAAGGGAUUUACCCUACUCUUUCUUUUACUUUAAUAACUUACACAAUAUCCUUUAUUAUAUUACAUAAAUGCUCUGAUUAUAUCACAAAGUACUCCGAUUUAUAUCCAUGAUAUUCAGAUUAUAUGAAAGGAUACUAUGAUAUGUCACAUCAAAACCUGGAGAAACUAGUGUUAGAGAUCCAAGUCCAUGAAGGCUUAUAAAUAGAUGACCACUCAUAGGGAGUAAUCUCAACUCGAAUUUUGGCACUAUACUCACUAUAUAAACAAAAUUUGAUGCUCUUACUGAGUUGAGCGUCAGAGUAUUUUUUGCAGGUGGAGCCCCCCUCAUUCCUUGGAAGUUGAAUCACUAGAGCUUAAAGGGAGACUACCCGAAGCCCACUCAAAUUUAGAUUGACCUCAUCUCGGCGAGAACUGUAAUAGUCUAUCAUUUGAUUGAUAUUGAUGCGGUAUAAAAAUCAUUUAUAUUGAUUCCUCGCAUAUAAAAUUAUUAAGAGAGUCUCUUAAAUAUUGAUUCCUCGCAUAUUUAUAAAAAUUUCUUAUCAUUAUUAUUAGACGUUGAUAGCAAUUAACAUUUCAAAUCUAUUCCAAGUAUUCAAAUACGUUAAGCAUUAUCAUUUGGGUCAGAAACUUAGAAUUACUUUCCAGUCAUAAGAGUUUCAAAGAUGAACUUCAAUCCCAUUUUUCCCAAUUGAAGCAACAAACUCUUUGACUUGUGUUUUUUAAUCAUUGCAAUCAUAACAAACUCCCAACAAACUUUGUUAUUUUGUUUUCUAUUUAAUGAAUAUUUUACUUGAUUAUUCAAGUGUUCCUUGUGAGUUCGAUAUUCGUCCUUAAGGAUAAAUUAUUACUUCUGACAACACGGUGCACUUGUUGUAUCACAUAUUUAUAAAAACUUCUUAUCAUUACGAUUAGACGUUGAUAACAAUUAACAUUUCAAAUCUAUUCCCAACAUUCAAAAUAUGUUAAACAUUAUCAUUUGGGUCAGAAACUCAAGAGUAUUUUCCAGUCAAGAUCAAUCUAGAUCAUAGAAACAAACAUUACAAAUAAAAUGACAAUAACAAUCAUCAAUCAAGAACAAAAUAUUAUAUUUAAAUAUCAACUCAAUACAUAAGAGGAUGAAUUUCAAUCCCAAUUUUCAAAUUGAAGCAACAAAUUCUUGGACUUGUUUUCUAUUUAAUCAUUAUCAUCAUAACAAACUCCCAACAAACUUUGUUAUUUUGUUUUUUAUUUAGUGAAUCUUUUACUUAAUUAUUCAAUUGUUCCUUGUAGUUCUGAAAAUACAAUGCCCUUAUUAAAAUAGUUAUCACAUCUUGUCUCAAUACAUGGGGAUUGGGAGAAGCCAAUAGGAGAUCAUGUUUCCUCUUCAUACACAAAAGCUCCCCAACCACUUAUCACGAAGGAGGAAGUGGCUUUGUACUAAAUCUGCACCAGAUUUCACUCCUCCUCCAGAAGUCGGUCAAGGCCAACCCACUUCUUGUCACUGAACAAAACUCGUAGAUCAAAGAUCAAGAUGCGUUCUGCUUCAAUUCUGAAUUUGCGACACCCUUUGCAAGGAACAUAUCGAGUUAUUAACUUUGAAAGUCAAUAAAAAUAUUAUUUGCAGCAUUUUGAGUUAUUAACUUAUUAAUGACAAUAAAUAUGGAAGUUUUUGUUCAAUAAAAAAUUGAAACGUAAAAAAUGGGAAAAUAUGAUAUAGAAUUGUACCUUAAAUGGCUCUUCCAAUGUUAGACGACUUCUAGGCAAAUUUAAAACAAUGAUGUGCUUUGGAUUAAAUUUUGGUGGGAAAGACUUUGAAGGACACUCUUCCCAGUCAAGAAGUCUUAAAUAAUUUGGUAAAUGUUCAAGUUCAGAUGAAAAUUGUGUGUUUCGAACAAUGAGAAUUCUGAGACAUUCCAUCUUCACCAACUCAGUACCACUCCAUUCUACUUUUUCUCGUUGAGGGGGAUCAAGCAUAAACCCUUGAAUCAUAUCACUUCCCUUUAACACAAGUACAAAGAAGCAACAUCAACUGCCUAUUAUCAGUAAUAUAAAAUACUAUAAUCUAUAAAUAAAAAACAAAAUAGAAUAAAAGAGUAGAGGAUUACGUAAUCUUUUGUUAGUAUUUCAAUAGCAUCUUCAUAAUACCAUAUUCUGCUACGUUUAGCAGGAUUUGGUGAUUCCUGCUUAACAAUCUCUCUACCCAUAUCUUGUAUUAGAUCAUGCAUCUUCAGGCAGCCAUUCUCGACAGUUAUGAGAGAUUUAUUAAGAAGUAAUUUCAUGUUGGUUGUUGGACAAAAUUCUUGAAGUAUCUUUUUCACAUAUUCCAUUCUCUCCCCUUUAAAGAAGCAAGCUAUGUCCAAGAAAAUUUGUUGGGCAUUAUCAUCCAAUCUAUCGUAGCUUAUUUGAAGCACAUCUUGAAUCUUUGUAUUUGGAGUCUUCUCAUAUUCUUUCAUUGCCAUUUCCCAAUCUUCUAAACUUUCAUGAAAAGCAGCUAAAUCAGAGCCUAUGACUUUUAAAGCCAGUGGAAGACCUUUGGCGUAAUCUACAGCACGCACAGACACAUCUUCAAAACCUGUUUUAGGAUAACUUUGUCUGAAGGCAUUCCAACAAAAUAGCUGUAAAGAAUGUUGGUCAUCAAGUUCCUUCAUUUCAUACGUAGGUUUAACUUGGUGAGCAAUUAGCACAUUUUCUUCCCUUGUGGUUAUAAUGAUCCUACUACCUGGACCAAACCAAUUACACUCUCCUGCCAACUUUUCUAACUGGUCUUUAUCACCAACGUCAUCAAGAACCAAAAGAACUUUCUUUUUCUGAAGCUUUUCUUUUAUUUCACCCAUUCCUUUAAUUGUACUUUCCAAUUUAGUUUCCAACUCCUCAAACAUCUUAGAUAAAAGUGUCUUUUGUAGAUCUUCCAUGCCAUUGAUUCUGUUUGAUUUUUCUCUAACAUCGGAAAGAAAACUUGCUGCAUCAAAGUGUUGCACAAUUUUGUCAUACAAAGCUUUGGCAAGUUCCGUUUUUCCAAUUCCACCAAGUCCAUAUAUGCCCAACAUAUUUACAGUUUUAUCAUCAGGCUUCAUGUCUAAAAGUGACAUAACUUCUUCUAUGCAAGCCUCAAGUCCAAUAGGGUUUUGACCACUAUAUAAAGGUUUAGGAAUUAUAUAUUCAUGGACCUUCUCAACAAUUUCUUCAAUACAAUAGCUUUCAUCAUCCCUAUAAGAGUAGAAUGUAUUAAUUAAUUAUUUGUUUGAUAUCAUGAUUUUUUUUAUUGUACUAAGUG
rnacentral:lncRNA from 1 species